rnacentral:lncRNA from 1 species
UUUACUUUACUUUUAAAUCUUUAUUUUAUGUAUUAUUUAUAUUUAAAAGUUUUGAAUAAGAGUUUUACAGAAAAGGAAAAACACAAUUUCAAAUAACACAAAUUUCUCGUUUUUUGUUCUUAAAAAAGAAGAAGCAUUGAUUGGGGAGUUAUGGUAAACUCAGUUUCAAUGGUUGCGAUGAGAGGCGGUGGCGGCGAGGAGAGGACGAAGGCUUUGCUGCCGACGGGGUGGUGUGGCUGGCUGCUUGGUCCUGGGUUCUCCUUUAAUUCUCUGUUUUCUUUUUUCAUUUUCUUUUUCUCUUAGAGUUAUUGAUGUUAAGUGAAUGGACAGAUGCCAAAAUAGGGACAGAAGAUGUGAACCCAAUUAUAUACAGCUGCUGCUAUAGCUGAUUACAUAAAGUAACAAAUUAAUUAAUGCUUGAGUGGAGGACAGGCUUGAGUGGAAGAAUUGAUUAAGGCUUGAGUGGAAGACAAACUUCAGUGGAGGAAAGUAUAGAUAAGGAAAGCAUGCCUCGUUUAACGGCUUUAUCUAAUAAAGAUUACUUGUUGGCACUUGGAGUUUCUUAGGAAUGCUGGUUUUGUUUCCUUGGUGGACUUGAAAGGUGGUGCCUUGGCUCGGACAUCUCCCAAGACAUACAACUGCUCAUUAGCUGAAUAUCUCGCUCUCUUUAAAGAGAUCGAAGCAAACACAAUUUGCAAUUUGUGUGAUUCAAGCAUGAAUAUCUGAUAUAGUAACUAUACCAUUUGUUGGUUUGAUAAGAAAAGUUUGGUUAGCGAGGAUGAAACCAUAAAGUUCCCAAAACACACAAAGAACACGGACAAUUGCUAAGUUUAUUCUUGAGUUCACACAUAUUUGCACAAAUGAGAUUAUUCCAAGCAUGAUUAUACCAUUUGUUGGUUUGAUGUGAAAAGUAUGGGCAACGAGGGGUAAAACCAUACAAACACACACGAAGAACGUGGACAAUACUAAAUUUAUCUUUACGUUAUUGAUCCGACCUAACUGUAAAAUAAAAAAGAUGAAAAUAUAUAAUGUUCAGUACUUAGAUCUAUGAGCACUUGCACAAAACAUCACUUUUGGUCUUUGGUAAAUUUUUAAAAUAAAUGAAUUUUUUACUUAUUUGUGAACUGAAAUGCCUCUAAAAAAAUAAUGAUAGUUCGAAGAAUUUGAUAGAAAUUAAAAAAUAUCCUCAAAUUACUUGGAAUUGAAGACCACAUAGGCAAAAACACGAAAUUGAAACCUCACUUUAAUGAUAAAAAUGGUAAACUACAAAGACAAAAAUGACGUCUUGCCUUAUAAAUAAUUGGAAUUUGCUGGUGAUAAUAGUCGAUAUCAUCUUUUGUCGGUCCGACCUAAAAAGAAGAAAAAGUUAAAAGCAUCUUGUACCAAUUUUUGCCAAUGUGGGCCCAAACAAUUUGAAGAAGUCCACCGGCAAUUUCUCAAAAGCUAUUGUGUGAGUGUGAAGCUAAACCAAUAUUAUUUUGCAUAUCCGACCCCACAUCCCCAUGUGAUGUGAGGCUACAGAGGUGUUUCCAAAACGAAAUAUGAUAUUUCAAAACGUAGCUAUGUAUAGAGUCAUUUGUAUUUGCUUUCACAAUAACAUUUGAUUUUAUAUUUAUACAUUCUGAUAUUUUAACAAAUAAAUUGACUAAAUUUGGCCAACAGGAUUUAGCCGAAUAGAAAAGUUCUUAUUUAUGGACUAGUAAUUUUAAAUUUAAAAUUUAGACUAUCGCAUGUAUUUAAAAAAAACUAAACAAUUGGCUUAAUUUGAUAUAUUUCCUUUUUUUCCUUUUUGCAUUUUAUGCUGGUUGCCGUUAUUAAGUUUUAUCCUUAUUUUUUGUUGAAAAGAAAAUUGAAAAAAAUAAUAAUAAUUCCUACAGCUAGCAACUUCUCCACCUACAAAAAAUAAUAUUUUUUGUUUUAUCCUCAUGUGAGGCUACAGAAAAUUUUUGAAAACGAAACUGGAUAUUUUAUCUCUAACGACAGCUUUCAUACUUCGUUUACCCUGUGUUUCCAAGUUGUGCUAGCUAUUUGCAAACCUUGGAAUAUUACUUCAUCCAAAUCCCUUGCAGAGAAAAGAAAGAUAUGGCUUUGAUCGGAGAGGCCCUCAUCUCUGCUACCAUCCAGACGUUGUGUGACAAAAUUGCUUCGCCUGAGUUCACCGACUUAUUUCGGCAGAAAAAGCUCGAUGAACAACUCCUCAACAAGCUGAAGACGACGCUGUUGACCUUGUCCGUAGUGCUUAAUGAUGCAGAGGAGAAGCAAAUUGAGGAACCUUUAGUGAGAGACUGGCUUGACAAUCUCAGACAUAAUGUCUUGGCUGCGGAGGACUUACUGGAUGAAAUCGACACUGAAGCUUUGCGAUGCAAACUGGAAGAAGGUGAAGGUCAAACCCACAAUUUAACCAAGAAGGUACGUGAUUUUUAUCAACGCAUGAAUGUUGAGAUGAAAGAUUUAUUAGAAAGAUUAGAACAAUUUGUACAAGAGAAAAGUGCUCUUGGUUUGAGAGAAGGUGCUGGGAGGAAGGUUUCACGAAGAACAACAACUUCCUUGGUUCAUGAACCUUGUGUCUAUGGUAGAGAUGAAGUCAAAGAAAAUCUGUUGCCAAUUUUGUUAUCUGAUGAUGCAAGUAAGGAUGAUGUGUCUGUCCUCACCAUUGUUGGAAUGGGUGGGAUUGGCAAGACAACCCUUGCCCGACUGCUUUAUAAUGACGAUGAGGUGAAAGAACAUUUUCCACUUCACGCUUGGGUUUGUGUUACGGAAGACUAUGAUUCUAAUAGGAUAACUAAAACUCUUCUAGAGUCAGUCACCUCAAAGUCUUCUAAUAUGACAGAUCUAAAUUUACUUCAAGUUGAACUAAAAGAACAACUCAAGGGAAAGAAAUUCUUAUUUGUUUUGGAUGACCUAUGGAAUGAGAAAUAUGGUGAUUGGAAACGCCUCCAAACUCCUUUUACUUCUGGGGCAAGGGGAAGUAAAGUCAUUGUAACAACACGGAGCCAACAUGUAGUAUCUGUCCUGCAAAGUGUUCAUGUUCAUCACUUGGAACCCUUGUCGCACGAAGAUUGCUGGUUCUUACUUGCAAAACAUGCAUUUGGAAAUGAAAAUUGCAGUGAUCCAAACUUGGAAGAAAUUGGCAAGAAAAUUGCACACAAGUUCAAUGGGUUGCCUUUAGCUGCAGAAACACUUGGGGGUUUGUUACGUUGCAAUAUAGAUUCAGAGGAAUGGAAUACAAUACUAAAUAGCAGUAUUUGGGAGCUACCCUAUGAUAAAUGUGACAUUCUUCCGGCUCUUGGGUUGAGUUACCAUUAUCUCUCCUCCCAGUUAAAACGAUGCUUUGUUUAUUGUUCAAUUUUUCCAAAGGAUUAUGAGUUUAAAAAGGAAGAUAUAGUUCAAUUUUGGAUGGCAGAAGGUUUAAUUCCAAAAGCUGAGAAUGGAAAGAGCAUAGAAGCGGUAGCUAGAAAAUACUUUGAUGAGCUGUUGGCACGAUCGCUAUUUCAAAAGUCAAGCAAAUCCGGUUUCACAAUGCAUGAUCUCAUUAAUGACUUGGCCAUGUUCAUGUGUAAGGCAUUUUGCCUUAGGUUGGAAGGGGGGGAAUCACAUGUCGUAGAAAAAGUUCGGCAUUUUUCAUAUGCUAUGGAAAGAUUUGAUGCAGCUCCAAAAUUUGAGCCAUUACAUAGGGCUAAGUUUAUGCGGACCUUUCUACCCAUAUCAUUAAAUUUUGUUUCCACUUCUUAUGUAACUAAAAAGGUUCUACAAGAUUUGUUGCCGUCACUAAGAUGUUUACGGGUGUUAUCAUUGUCACAUUAUCAAAAUGUUACUGUGUUACCUGAUUCUAUUGCAAACCUCAUUCACUUGCGCUACUUGGAUCUUUCCGGUACCGCAAUUGAAAGGUUACCUGGGGUACUUUGCAAUCUCUACAACUUGCAGACAUUACUAUUGUCAAAAUGUUUCUCACUCCUUGAAUUGCCUGCAGACAUUAGAAAAUUGACUAAUUUACAGAAAUUGACAUUGCUCGGUUGUAGUUCUCUUAAUAAAUUGCCUGCAGGCAUGAAGGAGUUGACUAAUUUGCAUCAUCUUGAUGUCAGUGGAACUAAAAUUGAAGAGAUGCCGGUGCAAAUGGGUAGAUUGAAAAGUUUGAGAACAUUGACUGCAUUUGUUGUGGGCAAAUCUACUGGGUUAGGCAUAAGAGAACUGAGGCAGUUCCCGCAACUUCGAGGAAAACUAUCAAUUUUGAAGCUACAAAAUGUAGUUGAUGCGAGGGAUGCACUGCACGCCAAUAUGAAGCACAAGAAAGAUCUCAAGGAGUUAAAGUUUUCAUGGGGUGCGGAGGAUGCUGAUGAUUCCCAAAAGGAGAAAGAUGUACUCGACAAGCUCCAGCCUUGCGUGAAUUUGGAGAAAUUAUCCAUCAAAUUCUAUGGUGGAACCAAUUUUCCGAAUUGGUUAGGAGACUCGUCUUUUUCUAACAUACAAGUCAUGCAUCUCAGUGACUGUAGUUAUUGUUGGUUGCUCCCACCAGUUGGACGGCUACCGGCACUCAAAGAGCUCUGUAUAAAAAGAAUGAAGUCUUUGAGGACGAUUGGCGUUGAAUUCUAUGGCAGAAAUGGAGCUUAUCUGACUCAGCCAUUUCGAUCUCUGGAGAAGCUAGAGUUUAGGGGGAUGCCGGAGUGGGAGGAAUGGGUACCAAGUGGAAGUGCAAGUGGAGGUGAAUAUGGUCCAGACUUUCCUCGUCUCCAAAAGCUGAUUCUAAACGAGUGUCCGAAGCUAAGAGGAAGUUUGCCUUGUGAGUUGCCUUGCUUGAAGAAGCUUACGGUGUAUGGGUGUAAGGUUUUACAUGAUGGAAGGACCGCUACCGCAACUACCAAUAGUGUUAACUAUAAAUCUCUGGAAGAAUUGGAUAUAAGUGGUGGAUGCCAAACUCUGUUAUCAUUAUUAGAGACAAAGCUCCUGUCCCGACUUCGGAUUCGAAAUGUUGUUGACAUACAGUGCUUGCCCAACUGCAAUCGUCUUCAACGUUUGACUCUUUGCCUAACGCUGUCAUCGUUUCCCAAAGAUGGCCUACCCACUACAUUGACAUCACUUUAUAUAAACAAUUGUAGGAAAUUAGAAUUCCUACCUCAUGAGAUGUUGGCCAAAUUAACAUCGCUUGACUAUUUGUGCGUACAAAAUAGCUGUGAUUCAAUGAGGUCCUUCCCGUUGGGCAUUUUUCCCAAAUUGACGACGCUUCAAAUUCGUGGUUGUGAGAAUCUGGAAUCUUUUUCCUUGAUUGAAGAAGAAGGAGCUGUUGACAAUCUCAGCCAUCUCAAUUCCUUGCGUGUCUAUAACUGUCCAAAAAUGGUGUGUUUUCACGAGGGAGAAUUGCCCACUCCCAACCUGAGUCACUUUGUAGUCAUUGGUUGCGAGAAUUUGAAGUCAUUGCCCGAACGCCUUCACACCCUCACUGCCCUUCGAUCUUUGAAUAUAUGGAAUCUUCCGAAUCUGGAGUCAUUUGCAGAAGAUGGGGGUUUGCCUCCCAACCUCCGAUCUUUUAUCAUUAGGAAUUGUAAGAGACUGAGGGCACUUGACUCAGUGGGUUUGCAAGCACUUGUCUACCUUCAGAUCGAUGGAAGUGACCAUGUCUUGGAGACGUUGCUGCUCCCUACCACUCUUCACACUCUCUGCAUCUCUGAUCUAUCAACUCUGAAAUCUUUGGACGGAAAGGGUCUUGGACACCUCACUUCUCUUCAAACUCUAAAAAUUUACAGCUGUCCAAGUCUUCAAUGCCUGCCAGAAGAGGGUUUGCCGCCAUCUCUUUCUCAUCUGAGUAUCCGCUGUUGUCCUACCCUGGAGGAAAGGUAUAAGAAUAAAACGGGACAAGAUUGGGCAAAGAUAUCUCACAUUCCUUGCAUCGAGAUAGGGGAAGAAGUGAUCAUAUAAUAUGAGCUAUUCCAUAUUUCACGCUCAACCCUCAACUCUCAAAUCAAAGUCAGGUGAGGUAUGUGCCUUCUCUUACUUUAAAAAACUGCUUCUCUUCUUCUAAUUGAAUACAAAAACCAAAACACAUAUUCUCUUUCUCUUCCAAAAACCCAAAUACAUGUUGGACAUUGCCCAAAUUUGUCUCCAAAUUCCUAGUUUAAAUCAAAUUUAAUGCCUAUGGAUAGUUUGUUAAUAGGUUCAUGCCAUGAAUUAAUCUUUGGACUUUCCCAGGUACUGCAGGUUUGUUAUUAAUGUUGUGGCCUGAUAUUCGUCGUAUCAAUACGUUGAGGAGAGAGAUCGAUCAGCAAUUACAAAAUUGUUAGUGAAUUUAGCUUGUUUAUCAUCUCUCUCCUUUUGUUUGUUAAGUUUUGUUGUUCUAGGUUAAACCCUUGUCCCCGCAUUUCACAGCAACUCUGUGUUUUUCCACUCUGUUUAGAUUUCACUAGCAGGAGAGCCCGCGCGAUGCUGCGGGUUUUGAAAUUGUGUAGACAAAAUUAGAUUGUUUAUAUAUACAAUGAGAUUUAAUUUAUAACAUUAUGUUUAACUACAGGAGUGUAAGUUGCAAAAAAGUAUAUAAUAACAUAUUUUACAGGCUACUUGUUAUGGUAAAAUACUAUACUUGUUUGUAUAUACAUUGAGAUGUUUAUAGUAGGAAGUAGGCAUCAAAAUAGCAAAAGUUGGAUAGUUUUGUACAGAAUGUUAUUUAAUUGGGCAAGCUUUGUUUUGCACUUGCUUCAUGAUUUUUCUUCUCUUUCAUGGAAGUCUUGAUCCUGUUAUAAAAAAAAGUGAGAAAAUAGUAAAUGUUAAUAUUGAUGAAUGGGGGAAAUUGAGUUAGGACAAUAAUCAUAAACAUUUAAUUAUGUAUAAACAGGAAUAAUAUAAUUUAUUGAUUUAAUAAGAAAGUUAUAAAUAGUUUUUCAAUCUAGGAAAUACAAAGUUACAAAAUUAAGAGAACUAAUGAGCAAGUUGUAGAUGGUUUUCUAAUUGAAGUAAUACAAAGUAAACAUAUUUUAAAUUUUGUGUUUGUCUAAAAGAAAAGUUGAAGAGAGGCAAAAUAAUUAUGGUUGAAUAUAUGGAGAAAAGGAUGUCAAUAUAAUGUUUAGGUUUUUAUGUAUUAGGAAUAUAUGACUUUUUUGCUGUUAUUUAGAGCAAAAAUUAUUUAAGGGCUUGACAUUUCUGUUAAAAAACGGGUAGAAUCUACCCUGAAAAAUGGACAUUUUGCCAAAAAAUUCACCUGUAAACUAAUUAGUACUGAAUACCGAUUGGCGAAGGCAAGACAAUCAUAGUUGUGGAGUACAUAGUUAGAAAGAUGAAUGUGCAAACGUACAUCUAACCCCAUGAUAUACAUCUAACCCCAUGUGAACAUGAUUUAUUCUACAACAAUGAUUAUCAAUUUUCUAAUUGCUCAUUUUCCUAACCCUAAUCAUCACAAACCCAAAAUUAACUCUAAAAAUUUCAAAUAAGCAUGGUUCUAAACCAAUUUCUAACUUACUUAGCGAAGUCUUUUCUAUAAAUGAUAGUUGUUGAAGAAAAAGGGAAACGAAAAUAAGCUUUUAGUGUAUAAGUACAUUGAAGCAAAACAUGAAGAGAAUCCAAUAUAUAACUUCAAUAUAUAACUUUAAUUUUCUAUAAGUGUUGAUCUAAAUUUACAUCCCUUACCACUCUUCAAUUUAAAAAUAGUUUUAGCUACAACAAACAACUUCAGAGAGAAGAUUUGGCCCUGUUUUAUAAGGCAAAACCUCUCUAACCACAUGACAUACAUCUAACUCCAUGUGAACGUGAUUUAUUCUACAACAAUGAUUAUCAAUUUCCUAAUUGCUCAUUUCCCUAACCCUAAUCAUCACAAACCCAAAAUUAAUUCUAAAAAUUUCAAAUAAGCAUGGUACUAAACCAAUUUCCAACUUACUUAGUGAAGUCUUUUAUAUAAAUGAUAGUUGUUAAGGAAAAACGGAAACAAAAAUAAGCUUUUAGUGUAUAUGCACAGCACAGAAAUUGCAUGUAGCUUUCCGAUUUUUAUCCCAACUUCGUUUCUGUGGAAUCACAAAACUACAUACGCACAGCACAGGGAAGGGAAAAAAAAAAAAAGGCACAUUUAAGAGACACCUAUCUUCUCAUUCUACAUCACAUCCUCUUUUCCUAGCUUUCCAACCUUGCAACCAAAGCAAACAUCUUUCCUGAUAAAGGGUAGGAAAGAAAGUGGUUGUGUGAAUUGGGAUGAGAGAGACAGAGACAGAGACAGAGACAGAGAGACAAAGAGAGAGAGAGAAAAGAGAAAUCAAAGUAUAUAUAUAAAUAGUAAGUAUAGUUUAUAUCAUGCAAAGUUUUGAUGGUUUCGUUCAAAAAAAAAACAGGGAAAAAGUUUUGAUGGGUAAUUCUAGUAAUAAUGUUCUUAUAAUUCUAUAUAUAUAUAGAUAUCAAACUGUACUACCAUAUUCUUCCUAUAUAUACACUUGGUCGUCAACUACCUCUCUCUCUCUCUCUCUCUCUCUCUCUCUCUCUCUCUCUCUCUCUCUCUCUCUGUGACCUGCAUUUAUACAGAACCAAUUAUUCCAUCUUCACUAUACAUUUUCCUCAUCUUCCCAUUCAUAUUUUAUGGCUCUCUUGUUCUUCCUCCUAAUUCUUUUGGUCCCUGCAAGCAAUACUAAUUGGCCACCAUCACCUGGCUACUGGCCAAGUUCUAAAUUCAGGUCUAUGAGCUUUUAUAAAGGAUUUAAAACUCUCUGGGGUCCUCAGCAUCAAAGCUUAGACCAACAUGCAUUAACAAUCUGGGUUUAAUGAGGCCAGAAAAUUUUAAGAACUUAUCUACCAAGCAUACCAAACUGACAAAGCAAACCAUAUCUGUAUUUUAUCAUCAAUUUCAUCAAUUUUAUCACCAACAACAGAUAAAAAAAGGGAAUUUUUUCAAAAAAAAAAAAAAGGAAAAAACAUAAAUAAAAAAAGGGGCACAUUUAAGAGAGACCUAUCUUCUCAUUCUACAUCACAUCCUCUUUUCAUUUUGAAGCGGUCAUGUGUUGUGAGUUUCUUGUUUUAUAAAUUUUCAAAACUGUUGUUUAGAACUGCAAAAUUCUUCAUCAUAUAUCUUGCCUUCUAAUAUACAUUCUGUAUCAGGAAACUGGAAUGAGGCUUGCUCUUUGAGGAAGAGAAAUAAAAGAAAAAGUUGUGGCAAAGGUUCACGGAUGUAGUUGGAUUGUAGUGGGACAGAGAACAAAUUUAUUUGUUGCAGGGGAAAAGUCUCAUCCAAAUGCUAUGAAAUCAUGGCAACUUUAAAGUAUUGGACAGCAAUAAUGAAAGAAGAGGGCUAUGUUGGUGACACAGAUUCUUGCUUGCAUGAAUAAGAGGGAGAAAAGCCCCUAUGGUAUUGACUGUUGCCGCCAAGUGCAUAUUGUUAUUACUAUGCGUACUACAUCCCAAGGCCUCUCUCAGCAGGAUUACAAAGUAAACCAGAAUUACUAUCCCAGCAGUAUUCUGCAACUUUGCUCUGCACUUCCUUAUGUAAUCUCUCUCUCUCUCUCUCUCUCUCUCUCUCUCUAUAAAUAUAUAUAUACACACACACACACACACACACAUAUAUCUAGGCAUGCAUAUUUAUGAGUUCCCCAUUGAGGAGGGAUUCCCUUUUGAGGAUUUUAUAAUUAGAAUUAGACUGCCUUCUUAACCAAUAGUUGGGUUUGUGUGGUAAGGUAUGCUGGGUUUGUUGAUGUGGAUAUUUAUGCCUGGAGGUGCUUUGUUUUACUACUUCGUUGAAGUAGAAACAGACACUGACAAAGAAGCCCUUCAUUCUUUGUCUCAAUAGUGAUUGGUUUCUUUGAUCCUAUUCAUCAUAUCUGGUGGUGAGGUUGCCUAAUCAGCCAAAUGUUGGGUUCAACUACCUCUCUCUCUCUCUCUCUCUCUCUCUCUCUCUCUGUCUCUCUCUCUCUUUCUCUCUCUCUCUGUGACCUGCAUUUAUACAGAGCCAAUUAUUCCAUCUUCACUUUACAUUUUCCUCAUCUUCCCAUUCAUAUUUUAUGGCUUUCUUGCUCUUCCUCCUAAUUCUUUUGGUCCCUGCAAGCAAUACUAAUUGGCCACCAUCACCUGGCUACUGGCCAAGUUCUAAAUUGGCCAGAAAAUUUUAAGAACUUAUCUACCAAGCAUACCAAACUGACAAAGCAAACCAUAUCUGUAUUUUAUCAUCAAUUUUAUCGCCAACAACAGAUAAAAAAAGGGAAUUUUUUCAAAAAAAAAAAAAAAAAAGGAAAAAACAUGUUUAGUCUUUGCUUUCCAAUGUUUUAUCCAAAAACCUGAAAAUCAAAGUAACUAAAUAAAUGAACCCAAUCAUUCCUAAUUUCUAUUUUGUCAAAACCUAAUUAAGCUUCACUUCUUUUUUGCUUGUAUUUUAUCAUCAAUUUCAUCUAUUUUAUCACCAAUAGCAGAUAAAAAAAGGAAAUUUUUUCAAUUAAAAAAAAAAAAAACAUACUCAGUCUUUGCUUUCCAAUGUUUUAUCUAAAAACCUAAAAUCAAAGGAAUCAAAUAAAUAGGGUUUAGGGCUCAAGAACCUGAAAUCAAAAGAACCAAAAAAAUGAACACAACUCUACAUAGCACGAAAAAUCUCCCAGCCAACAAUCAAAUUCAUGAAAUAAAUACCAAAAGAUCUGUUAAAAAAUUGAUGAGAUGCAUACCUGAAAACAAAGGAUGCAACAAAGAUGGAAGCCUGAGUCGAAGCAAGAACGAUGGAAGCCUGAGUCGAAGCAAGAAAGAUGGAAGCCUGAGUCGAAGGUUGUAGAAAAGACGAAAUCUCCCGAUCCCAAAUCUGUGACACGAAGACUGAAAGCACGGCUGGAUUUGCAGCUCACCUCCCAAACAAAAAUCGACGGCCUUCAACGCAUCUCCAGCAACGAACACAACUCUUCCAUGGCUGCCCCCCAACCAGCUGGUUGGAAACGAACGGGAGAAAAUGGUUUCUCUCAGCGGACGAAACCAUCUCAACGAAGGGGGAGGGGCAAAAACGGGAACAAAAGAAACUGUUUAGUCAAGGGCAGUUUCGUCAUUUAACUGUGCUGCAGGAAAAAAAACGAAAACAGCAGAAAAAUGAGGGGCAUUUCCGUCAUUACACUGUGCUUAGCUACAGUGUUUAGUUGCAUUGGGUUUUAGUAUAUAUAUAAUUUAUGUUGUGAUUCGACUGCUGCUGUAUUUUAGAUUUAUAGGAACAGACCAAACAUGUUGAUUCUAUCACCAAAAUUAUAAAGUAUACUUCCAUUACAAUUAAUUUGUUGAUUCUAAUUUGGACUUGUAGGAACAGACCAAACAUGUUCAUACGUGGCAUUGCUCAAGUCAUCAUCAUUCGGGACAGAGAAUAAGCCUUCAAAUGUCUGCUGAGUCAAUGAACCUUUCUAGAUAUCUCAAGUGUAAUGGAAAUUGAUGAGUUACAAAGGAUUUGUAAACAUUUUCUACUGGAGGCUAGAAAUGCUUCAAAUAAAUGACUCUGUUGCAAUUAUUUUGUAGGAUCAAAGACUCUGCAAAGAGGUAAGAAAGUCAUCAUCAAGUAACUUCGCUCUUCAUACUUUUUAUUAGGGGUGGGCAUUGGAACCGCAAAACCGCAAAACCGAACCAACCCAAUCCGAAAAAAACCGAAAAAAACCGUGUUGACCGAAAAAGUCAAAAACCGAGACAAAUCCAAACCGAACCGGUUCAGACCGGUUCCGGUUCCGAUUUUCCACCUUAAGGAACCGGUCCAAUCCGAACCGGUCCAAUAUAAUUAAUUUUUAUAUUAUAUUUAUAUUUAUAUUUAAAAUAUCAAAUUUUGUAGGCCCAAACCCAACUAUUUCAUUAUACCAACAAAAAGCCCAAAUCUCCCAAGUCCAUUGCCCAAGUCCAACAAGCCAUAUUUUAAUAUCCUAAUCACAUCAAAUCUCACUUCACUCUCUCUCUCUGACGCACUCUCUCUUUUCCUCUCAGAUUUUUUUUACUCUCUUUUUCUUUCUUUCUUCUCUCUUCCGCCUCUUUUCCUCUAGGUUCUUUAACUUCUUUUUACUUCUUUCUUUCUUCACUCUUCUGCCUCUUUUCCUCAGUUUUUUCUUCUUCUUUCUCUCUUAUUCUUUCUCCUCUCAAUUCGUCUCCAUUUUUUUUCCCUCUCUUUCUCUGAUUUUCUGUUACUCUGAUUUUUUUCUUCUUGGUUUUAUGUUUCUCUCUCUCCCUCUAUAUCUCUUUCUUUGCAACUCUGUUUUUCAAUUUCUCCUUUUUUUUCUCUCUUCAUUUUUUGUUUCUCUGUACAUAUAUGUGUUCAUCUUGUAGAUCUGGGUGAAAUUCUUGUAGAUCUAGGUGAAGUUCUUGGAGAUCUGCGUUAAGUUCUUGUAGAUCUAGGUAAAGAGCCAAUUCAAAGCAGGUCAGCGUCUCUUAUCUCCCCAAUCCCUUGUGAAGAUAUGUAUUUUUUUUGUUGUCAACAAUCCAUUUUGGUGUUUUUAUAUGGUAUUGAUAUUUUCUAUGAUUUUGGGCUGAUUUGAGGUCUGAUUCUUUUUUUUUCUUUCAAUUUUUUCCUGUUGUGUUUUGAUAGACAUGUUCUCUAUUCCUGAUAUCAUUCCUCAGUGGCAAAAUCUUUGAGCGUUGUUGUAAAUUUUAGACGGGAAAGAAGCUCAUUCAUAAUUCAAAAAAAGAAAAUAAAGUUACAACAACUGACAAUUUGUUGCUCUUUGAAAUAGGUACUGAAGUAGCAUGGAUAAAAAGAAAGACUGAAGAUGUUGCAGAAGAUUGAAUAUGUUCUAUUUCUGUAAUUUGUUUGUAAUUAAAUUUGUUUAUUUUGUUUUGUUUUUAGGUUGUAAGUUUUAUUUUAAUGUUUGAUAUUUGUUGUUUUGUCAAAAAAUUGUAUUAAUGCUUGAUGGAUUCAUUCAAUUUGCAGUGCGUGGAUGUGAAUUGGGCCAAUCGGUAAUAAUUAGGCCCAAAAGGUUUUAAAUAUCAAUUGGGCUGAAACUUACAAAAAAAUUUAAGAACAAAAAAAAAAUCAAUUAAGCUGUGUGUCGGCCCAAACCGUAAAAACCGGAACCGAACCGGAUUCAAAUGGGUUCGGGUUGGUCCGGUUUUCUCAAGCAUUUUAGUAAAAAUCCGAACCGGACCGGACCGGUGAACAGUACCGGUUCCGGUUUUAAAUUGAUGCAAAAACCGGUCCAAACCGGACCGUGCCCACCCCUAUUUUUUAUUUUUAUUUUUAAAUAUCAGUAAUAACUGGGAAAGCUUGCAUCUCCUUAAAUUGCUCAUUCUUACAUCUUUUAUAGUUUGUUGAUCUUGGGCAAGUGGAGAGAGAGGCGUCAAGUGAUACGCAACAACCAUUUUCUGUGAGCUGAUUUGAUAAAGAGAAAUGGUAUGCUUUCUUGUCUUAAGCGGUGUGUUCUGCAAUUAUUUGAAACAAAGGAUGCCGCACUUCAAGUUCGAGAAAAUCAGGUAUUUUAGUAUUUUAUUCUUGAGAAAUUUGAUUUAUGUAGAAACUUGAACAUGUAAAUGAGAGAAAAAAAAAUAAAUAUAUAUAUAUAUUAUAUAUUGUAUAUGCUGUUAAUGAGUUAAUAUGGUGCUUGCUCCUAGUUGGAAAUUUAUGUAGUCAUCUACCUAUGAUCAAAUAAAGAUGAAAAAUAAAAUAAAAUUGAGAGCAUCUUCCUCUCCCCUGCUUUGCUCAUCCCUUGUUCUUCCACUUCAGCCCCACUAUUACACCAUUUUUUUCAGCCACAAUUAUAAUAGCUCCAUGAGCAUUAAGUCCCUUUCAAAUUCUGCUGACAUUCAAAAUUGGAAUCUGCUGGUGAUAUAUGAUAGCGUUAACAUAUUGUACCAUUUUGGCCAGUGUACGCAAUAUUAUUGCAUCCAACUUUGCAUAUUAACAUCAGUGGCCACAGUUACACGAUUUGAGUGCACAGAAAGGUUUCAAAAGUUGUCCCACAGAGAACAGUCGUUCAAAGUGAGAGAGUUUUGAAAGCUUAAUUACAAGUUCAUGUUGUUUACAACCUCAAAAAGCUUUCAUACUUGCUUACAAACCUGUAUUUCCAAGUUCUGCAAACCUUGGAAUAUCACUUCAUCCAAAUCCCCUUCCAAAGCAGGAAAAAAUGGCAGCAGCUUUGAUUGGAGAGGCUCUCAUCUCUGCUUCUAUCGAGGUGUUGUGUGACAGAGUUACUUCAGCCGAGUUCAUAGACUUAUUUCAGCAGAAGAAACUUGAUGAAACACUCCUCAUGAACCUGAAGACGACACUGUUGAUUUUGUUUGCGGCGCUCAAUGAUGCAGAGGAGAAGCAAAUUGUGAACCCUGCUGUGAUAGAGUGGCUUAACAGCUCAAGCAUGCUGUCUUUGAUGCAGAGGACUUACUUGAUGAGAUUGACACUGAAGCUUUGCGAUGCAAGCUGGAAGGUGAGGAUCAAACCCACAAUAAUUAACCAACAAGGAUCUUUUUGAUUGUUUGAAAGGAGGGUCUUUGAUGAUUUGAAAGGAGAGGGUUGCUUCAUUUCUGUUGGAUGCUUAAUUAAAUCUUAUCUGGACUUGAACAAGGAUUAGGUUAGCUGUAUAAUUCGUGGUAAACACCUUUUUCUAAGGUUCAUUUAGACUCCUAUUACGAUUAAUUUGUUGUUUCUAAUUUGGACUUGUAGGAACAGACCAAAUAUGUUCACACGUGGCAUCGUUCAAGUCAUCAUCAUUUCAGACAAAAUCAGCCUUCAAGUGUCUGCUGACUCAAUGAACCUUUCUAGAUAUAUCAAGUGCAAUGGAAAUUCAAGAGUUACAUAGAGAUUUGUAAACAUUUUGAAGAUUGCAACACCUGCAAGUGAGAUAGGUGGUGACGAAAUCAGAGCUGAUCUUGAAGCCUCUGAUGCCCCUGUCGUUGCAAGUUGCACCUGAGAACAUGGUUUUUUUUUGGGUAAAAAACCAGCAACAUGUUCGGGGCUGGCAAUUCAAUCCCUGAUGAACUUGAGAAGCAAAGCUCCAGUAAGGAAAUUGGUCGAGGUCACGACAGGGAUAAUUGAUGGUGAAAUGGAUGCUAUUUCUUAUUGCAGCCUGUUCUCAAAGUUCUUGUUGGCAAAAGCAAGAGAUGGAGUAUUUUGAUUGGGAGGAGAGAUAAUGACAUGUGUUGACAAUUCUAGAACAGCCCAUCUGAGUUCUUUUGUCAGGCUGCAUCAUUUAAUCCCAGCAAAAAUCCAGUUUUUGCUAAACAAUCAAAUUGUACACAUUUUUUCUUUUCGAGGAAUUUAACAUUACACAUUUUUUCAUUUUUUCAUCAAACAGUUUUCUAAUGCAUUUGUUGUCCCAAGUUACAAUGAGGAAUUUGGAUUGAGUUUCUUGUGUUAAUAACAUUAUACUUUCAUGGAAUGGUUUAUCUUCUUUUUCUGGACAAAAAUAUUUAGAUUAAUUUCUUGGAAUAAUUUUUUAAUAAUUUUUUAAUUGCAGUAGCGAAAAAAGGAAAAUUGUAUUUUUCAAAACCAAUCUUAAGUCCAGUUUCCUCUUCUUGGUCGUCACACUUGGAAAUUGCUAACCAUAUAUAACUUGGGGUAACAAUCUUAGUCCGAAUGUGUACGAUCUUAGUCCGAUCAAUGGCUACGCGUAUUGGCUCGGCCUUGGGGUCUACCAUUCCAGUGUACAAGCUUCCUGGGUCUUGGGGCAAUUCCUUCAAAUUGUACACAUGUUUUCUUUGAGAAGCAAGGCUCUAGUAAGGAAAUUGGUUAUGUAACAAAUUUUGGUCCCUUUGGAUGGAAUGAUUUACAAUGAGGAAUUUUAUUAUUAUUAUUUUGUUUUUGUUGUUAGUGUAAUGAAAAUGAUCUAGGUUCAUACACUGGGUAUAGCUCUAAUUUGGCCAAUUUCAUUAUUUUAGUUUCUUCAUAUUUUCAAUUAUUAUAAUUUGGUGCGUUGUUUUUUAAAAACAUUCAUGAGAAUCUCCAUUUUUUAGGUGUUUAAGUUAUUCAUCCACAACGGUUUUAUAAUACCGUCAUCUUUUCAAACACAACGAUGAUUUUUUAAUCUAUCGUCGUUGUUUUCUGAUCGUCUUUUUCACUUUUUGUAGUAGUGUCAAUAAGUAAGAUGAAAUAAUACAUUCACAAUCUGUUUAAAUUUUAAAUUAAAAAAAACACAAGAAAAUUUUAAAUAAGUAAGUAAUUUUAAAUAUAUAUUUCCAUUGUUUUGGUUUUCUUUUCAUAUUAGUUUUCUACUAGCUGCUAAUUUCAUUUAAAUUGUUUUUCUUACUUCAUUUAACUUUUAAGCAUGCAGAUGCAAUCAUGACUUCUUCUUUUUUUCAAUAGACUGAUUCUCUUCCCACAUAUAUAAUGCUCUCUAAGUAUUCGUAAUAUGAGUAGGAAUUUAUUUUCAUUUCACAAGAAUUGUCCAUCAAAUUCUGAUAGGUUUGUCGAUAGCACAAGCAUGCACAUAUAGACACUACAAGAACUUUGUUUCUUCAUUUUGUUUCCUAAAGAUUUGUUGGCUUCGUGCAGAUGAAUAACAAGUCUCUCUGUCCUCUAUUUCUUCUUUUUCUUUUUUAACAAUUCAUAUUCUACUUUCUGUUUUCACCCAGUAAAAAUUGAUUUUAGACAUGGGCUUCUAAAUUAUGUGCGGAUAAUGGUUGCAUUUAUAGAAUAUCCAUGGGCUUCUAGUCACCGUGGUUGUUGAUUCAGCAUGUCAUAUUACUCUUGGACUAGCUGUUGACACUACUACAUUUUACACUUUGCGCGACGAAGAACAAAACGUCGCGCAAAGUCGCAUUUAGUCGCCCCAAUUUCAGCGCGACAAAAACGUCGUCGCGCAUAUUCCGUCGCGCGAAGAUCGUGAAGAAAGCCUUUGCACGACGAGGUACAACCCUUCGUCGCGCAAAAGUGUGCGACGGGUAAACCAUCGUUGCACCAACGGUGUGGAGACGAAACAACCCUUCGUCGCAAAAAUAUUUGCGCGACGAUAAAUUAUGCGGCGCACGUAUAUUUGCGAGACGACGGGAAUUGCGCGACAAAACAUUAUUCGUCGCGCAAAAUAUGUAUGGGAGACGUAUAUGUUCGUCGCAGAACAAUUCGCGCGAUGAGAAAGUUUUCGUCGCACAUAUAAUUGCGCGACGAAAAAUUAUGUCGUCGGCCAAAUAUUUUGCGCGACGAAACAUUUCGUCGCGCAAAACGUGUUAUGUGUUCGUCGCGCAUGAAUUAAAAGUGAUAAAAAAAUAUUUGAUUUUUUUUUGUUACAUGUUGGUUUGCGCGACGAAAGAUUUUCCGUCGCGCAAAAAUAAUAUUACAAUUUUUUUUUUAUUUAUAUUUUUUAUUUGAUAUAAAAUUGGUUUCUUUUUAUUGAUUAAACAAUGAAAUUGCAAUAAAAAUAAAUUAGAAUAAAAUUUUGUUAUAAAAUAAAAUAAAAUAAAUGUAUUACAAAUAAAAUAAAUACACUAAUCAAAUAAUGAAUCAAAAUCAACCGAGUCGUCGCCAGUAUGCGGCUCGGAGGGCGGGGCGUUCACCGGGGCAGUGGUCUGGUGGGGAUGCCCGGGAUGGACGGGCUCAGAGGUCGGCGCAUCAAAAUGCGGGACUGGAAUGCCGGACUGUGCGAGGGACUGCAGAAUGACCGACAUCUGGCUCUGAAGAGUGGCCACCUGUGCUGUCAAAGCAGUGACCUGACUGUUUGACUGCGCCGAUGAACGAGGUCGAGGUUCCCUCCGCCGGGCAUUCCCCAUCCCUCGACAAUAUGUCCCCGGCCUCCUCCCGAGAGUCUGAUCCAACGUCUCCGUCAAUAUCUGAAAUCCAGCAUCCUGUGGAGGAGCCACAGACUCGAUCGGAGUCUCGGGAGGAAGCUGGGAGGCGGACUCCUGAAGAACAAGCUGGCUCCUCUCCACCAUCGUCGUCUGUUGAACAUAACAUAAAAUAUAAAUUAAAACAUGCAUAUAAAUUGAAUGCGUAACAUAAGAAUUAAAAUUAAAUAAUACUUACAUGAAGGGACUCGGCCAACUCAUUCCCGGGUCGAACAUAAACGUCACCAAAGACGUCGAUCUCUGGGAACUUGGACCCCUCCUAAAUUGAACAAGAGAAGAAAAAUAUUAGUAUGAAAAAAAUAAAUUAAUAAAAAUGACAUUAAAAAUGAAAUAAAAAUUUUGUGAUUAUUACCCGACGCCGUGCAUCCAUCCUAUAAGAAAAGGGUCUGGAGCCGGAAUGGUGGAGAAGGGUCUUCUUCUUCCUAUUACCCUUAUUCACUUGGGCUUUAUUCUGUUAUACAAAAAAUGAAACGUAUUAGUUAAAAUAUAAAAAAUUAAAUAAUAAUGAAAUAAAAAAAUAAAAUAAACAUUAAUAAGUAAUAAGUAAUAAUUAAACAAAUAUAAUUAAAAAAAUACCGCAAAUUCGGGCGCUUGAAAAUGAGCGCAGAGCCACUCCCAACUAUCCUCCCGCCCCUCAAGCUCCUUCGGGCAACCCUCCUGAAGAGCGACUUGCGGAUCAUCAUAGGCCUGAAAAUGGUGGUGCAAGUCGCUCUUCCACUGCUUGUACCUCUCAGCGAAGAGUCGGUUGACGUACGUCAACGACUCUUCGUCGAGAUCCUCCAAGUUAUAGUUCGUCUGCAAUCAAUUAAUUAGAUACGUUAAGUAAUAGAAAUAUACACAAUUUUAAAGAAAAAUAAUGAAAAUGUAAGGUACAUACCGACAACUGGCCGUGAAUCUCCGCCUGGAUCUCGUCAGGCAUGACCCUCCAAGACUUCCAUUGCAUCGGGCAAUGGGUCCGCACGACGUGGCCAAUGUCGUGGGCCAAGGAGCUAUGCAACUUCGCCGUCGGUGCAGCACGAUGGCGCUCGUCGUAUCCGAUGCUGAUACGACUGUUGGUCACCCGGGUGACCUUCGCCGUCUUCAGCUGACGACACGGUCCUCGGGUGUUCCUCUUCGCUGCAAAGAAAUAAGGUAUUAAUGUUAAAUAAAAAAACAUUGUCAAAUUUCAAUAUAAAAUUAACAAUACAAAAGUGUAGUUAUACCUGGCUGUGAUCCCGAGGCACCAGUACCGUCGGUCGAUGUCGUGUCGAUGGUGUCGGUGGGCCGGUGCCGCCGCCUAGCACUAGCUGGUUGCGCCACGGAUGACGCAGAUGACACAGGCGCCUGGGGCGCCCCGGGACCAACCACCACGUGGUCCAACAAAGCAGGAGCAGUGGCAGCAGAUGCCGACUGAGCCAGGGGAUCCGAACUCGGUGCAGUCGUCAUCGACCUACCACGUCUAAUCAAGUCUGACAUCUGCACAUAUAAUUUCAUUCAGAAUGUAAACUAAUUAAUUAAAAGCAUAGCCUGACCUAGGGUUUGGAAUUUCGGAGUAUCCGGGACUCCGAUCAACGAUCGGUCGAAUCCUAAACGAUCCUAGAAACACAAAGGUACAACUACGCGAGUUUCAGUUCGAUCCAACGGUCCGAACAUAUCAAACCUGGAAAUCGCACAAUAGGCGAAAUUCGAUCAAGACUCAAACGGUAACCAAAUUCAAAUCCGAGCAAACCUACGCGCUCGUGACAAACAGGGGAUCGCUCUGGGACACAAUGCCCCACUGCCACAGCAUCCCACGCGCCGGCAGCGCGUGGGUGUCCAAAGCGAUAACAUUCGCCGGAAAAUUCUAAAAACUAACGGCCAAGGUUCCUACCCUAGGUUGAAAACAAUAUUUGGCGCCACUUUUGUUCUCGGACCUACCCCGAAAAAUGGCCGGAAGUGGCCGGAUUUGAAAUUGCCAAACCGGCCAAAACCUAGGGUUUUAAUUCCUAUUUCCUAUACCCAUCAGCUAGAGCACAAAAAAUAGUCGAGAAAUCAUACCUCAGGCGUCGGAAAUGGUGGCCGGAGGAGAGAGAAAACGGCCGGCGAGGAAUCGGUGAAAAACCGACGAUGUGCGACGGCAGGCUCGACGGCGAAGGCAGGGGAGGCUAUGGCAGGAGCGGCGGUGGCUGAGGUGACGGCGGAGAGAGAGGGCUGAGGUGACGGCGGAGAGAGAGGCAAACGGAGGAAAAAACCAGAAAUGGGGAAGAAGGAGGCAUCGCGACGUUUCUGCAAAUUUUUACGACUUUGCGCGACGAAUCACAUCAUUCGUCGCGCAAAAUGCUAUUAAUGAAUCUUGCGCGACGCUAUAUCCGUCGCGCAAGAUCUGUCAGAACGCCAAAUUCUGAAAGUGGAUUAGGGUCUGUAAGUUUUGCGCGACGAAAUAGACAUACUUCGUCGCGCAAAAGGCUGUCUUUCCGCCAAAAUUUUGGGAUUUAGGGUUUAGCGGGAGGCUGAAACUGAAGGGUUUGCGCUUUUGCGCGACGAAGACGGUAAACGUCGCGCAAUGGUAACCUUGCGCGACGGAACGUAUUAUAUUCGUCGCGCAAAAGGCUAUCUUUCCGCCCAAAUUUUGGGAUUCAGGGUUUAGCGGGAGGCUGAAGGGUUUGCGCUUUUGCGCGACGAAGACACUAAACGUCGCACAAAAGGCUGUCUGCUGAAAUGAAUGGUUUCUGCUUUUGCGCGACGAAGACAAUAAACGUCGCGCAAAACGUUGUCGUUCCGCCAACAAUUUGGGGUUUAGGGUUUAGUGUGAAAACUGGCGCCCAGAUUGCGCGACGAAGAGUACAUAUUUCCUUCGCGCAAUCUAUUUCACUUUCACUUUGCGCGACGGAUAUGUUGGUUCGUCGCGCAAUCUUCAAGAUUUUCAUUGAAAUUUUCACUAAGUGUUCAAAGGGGAUGGAGGUGUGAAAACUGGCGCCCAGAUUGCGCGACGAAGAGUACAUAUUUCCGUCGCACAAUCUAAUUCACUUUCACUUUGCGCGACGGUUAAAUUGUUCGUCGCGCAAAAUGUAGACCCUAAACCCCCUUGUAAACCCUAAACCCUGAACCCUAAGCCAUAAACCCUAAACCCUAAAAUAGUUUCAAUGAUCCAACCGGCAAACUUAUUGUUUGAAACUUGGAGAUCAUAUACGCCAAAAAUCAAGAAGACCAAACAUUCAGAUAUCAGGGAACGGGACUAAAUAUUUCGACGGUUAUAAAUGAAAAGUCAUGAUUUAACGGUUAUUGUAACUCCGAUUUUGAUCAAUUUUGACAGCAGCAUUUGUUGACCCUAUAUGAAUACAAUGACUGAAUUUGAUCUUCAAUUUCAGAUUUUUACACUAGGGGAUACCACAUAAACGUGAAGUUACAUUUGCACAAAUGUAUAAACAAAUUUUAGGGUUUUUGGUGAAUAUAUGAUUUUGAUAGCACAUGCAGUCUACGAAACAAGUUUCAGUCAUCCAGCCGUCAAACUUGUUUUUUUAGACUUCGAGAUCAUAGACAGCAAAAAUCGGACAAAAAAAACAUUCAGAGAUUAAGCAACGGGGUAAAACUUUUCGACGGUUCUAAAUAAAAAGUGAUGAUUGAACGGUUAAUUUAACUCCGAUGUUGAUGAUUUUUUGCAGCUACAGUCCUACACUCCAUAUGAAUACAAUGAACUACUUCGAUCGCCAAUUUUAAAUAUAUAUGUGUGUAUAUAUUAUACUAUAACGUUACCUAAUAUAUAUUUGCGCGACGAAAGUUUGCUUAUCGUCGCGCAAAAAUGCCAUACGCGACGCAUGUAUAUAUGCGUCGCGGAAACUAUGCGCGACCAGUUGUAUUCGUUGCGCAAACAUUACGCGACGCUUAUGUAUGCGUCGCGUAUGGUAUGUUUGCGCGACGAUAUGGAGCCCUUCGUCGCGCAUGGAUUUGGCGCCAUAAAUCCUCAUUGAUUUCAAAUUGUGUAUGCUUUGUAUUUUUUAGAAAGGUUUUGUAUUCAUCAUUUUUUAUGCUUUGUAUUUUGUGGAAAGGCUUUGAAAUAUUCAUUUCUUUUGUUAUUUUUAUUGAAGCUUUAACUUGUUCUGUUCCGCAGAAAAUUCCAAUGAAGUUUGUGAUGAAAUAUGGAGAAUGAAUACACAACUACAUAUGGACAACUACACAUAUUCAAAGAUUUGUAUUACACAAAAUUAAUACACUAACAUAAUAAAUUUACAAAUAAAUUCAUUAUUCAUCAUCUGAACUAUAAUAACUUUCGUUAUCGUCGCUAGCUUUAACUUGUUCUGUUCCGCAGAAAAUUCCAAUGAAGUUUGUGAUGAAAUCUGGAGAAUGAAUACACAACUACAUAUAGACAACUACACAUAUUCAAAGAUUUGUAUUACACAAAAUUAAUACACUACAUAAUAAAUUACAAAUAAAUUCAUUAUUCAUCAUCUGAACUAUAAUAACUUUCGUAUCGUCGCUAUCAUCACUCUCGGUCUCCCAAUCUUCUUCCUCCUCCUCCUCUAUAACUGCAUCAUCGGCGUUGCUAGGGCCCACUGCAACAUCGUAUCGGGGAAGAUCACCGAGGUCAAUUGUAAUUGACUGAAUCGGUAUUUCGACUGAAGACACUCCUUCUAUUUGAAACGGUUCUUGUAUAACAUUUGUAUCUCGAAGUGUUUCCGCAUCAUUUUCCAUUGAAGAUUCUAAACGAUGGUCAGCCACAUUGUCGACGUCGUUGUCACUUGGGUCUAGUUCUGGUAUAUUAUACACGUUCCUAUGAUCCAUCUUCUGCACAACUUUCCACCCGUUCCCGGCUUUAGGGUCAUCUAGAUACACAAUUUGGGACGCCAUGUUUGCCAAAAUGUACGGGUCGUCAUCAUACCAAGUUCUGUUAAUAUUCACAGACAGUACUCCAUGGUCGAUUUUAACACUUCCCGCCCUAUUUGGGUUGGUAUCGAACCAUCGACACUUAAACAUGAUGACUUGGUAUCGAUCUUUGUAAAGCAAUUGCACGACAGUUGUCAGUUUGCCAUAGAAAUCAAUGUCUGUACUUUCGCCUCCACCUGGGACAUGAACACCGCUAUUUUGCGUACACAACUUGUCAUCUCGUGCGGCCCCUAAAAAUUUGACGCCGUUAACAUUACAACCCGAGAACAAUUCAGCGCGAAUUGGGCCGAACGCCAAGUUAUAUAACUCAUCACUGUAAGUGGGGGAAUUCGAUGAUUUCAAUUUAUUCACCUAAUAGUAUACAAAACCAUUUACAUGUUAGUCUGACAAAAUUAAAUACUAAAAUUUAUAUUUGUCAAUUACAAAACACUUAUAACUUACAGAAUCCAAAAACCAUUGUGGAAAUAAUUCACGGUGUUUCCGGGCAACCAAAUGUGAUGGAUGUUCUCGCUUCAUCAUCUGUUCAUGCUCAUCUAAGUAGGCCAUUAUCUCAUCACAAUUGUUCAGUACGAACCAAUGCGCUACCUCCAUGUCAUUUCUAGAAAACGACUCUCCUCGUCCAGGAUCUCCAAAUGGUCGUGCGCUUUGGGCAAAAACAGAAAGUUUUUCAUUUCUCAUACCUCCGUCAUUAUUGCGGUGAGGACGAUUGAAAACCGUCUCCACAUCUUUUAAAUACAUUCCACAGAAAGUAAGCGACUCAUAUUGAACCCAAGCCUCUAUAAUUGAUCCUUCGGGCUUUGCCCUGUUGCGUACACUUUUUUUCAGCUCUCCGAGAAGCCUGCCAAAAUAAAACGAUAUGAUACAAAUUAGCAAAGUGUCGAUAAUGAUGCAUACACAAAUGAUAAAGAUUAUAUACCUUUCUAUUGGAUACAUCCAGCGAUAGUUGACAGGACCAGCAAGCAAUGCCUCUUCUGGCAAGUGAACCAUCACGUGCAUCAUACUUAUAAAGAAAGCUGGAGGAAAUAUCAUCUCAAACUUGCAUAGGACUUGGACAAUGUCAUGGCGCAACUGAAACAUGUCUGUCCUUCGCAAUGUUUUUGCCGUCAGUUGGGAAAAAAAUCUGGAUAACAACAUGAUUGGCUUCACCACAUCUUCCGGCAGUAAGUGUCGAAUACCCACAGGAAGUAGGCGUUGCAUGAACACAUGGCAGUCAUGGCUCUUAAGUCCAGUAAAUUUACCCCCAUCGACAUUCACGCAACGUGCGAUAUUAGAAGCAUACCCAUCGGGAAAUUUGACAGACGAUACAAACUUUAGAAACUCCUUUUUGUCAUUCGGUUUCAUAGAAAAGAAUGCAAGAUCCCUUCUAGCUUUAUCACUGUCCCUAUUCAUCCAUAAACCCCUUCGUAUGCCCAUUCUUUCCAAAUCAAGACGAGCUUUGAUCGUGUCCUUCGUCUUCCCCUCGAUAUCUAGAAUCGUGCCCACCAAUGUGUCGAAAACAUUUUUCUCAACAUGCAUCACAUCUAGAUUGUGCCUCAAUUUCAGUUUCGACCAAUAUGGGCGCUCAAAAAACAUAGACUUGUGCGUCCAGUUCAAAUGUGUAGAAGGUCGGGUCCGACUAACUGUUUUCCCGAACGGAGCAAAAUCCAAACGGUUCAGCUGUUCCAAGAUCUCAUCACCGGACCAUUCUCUAGGUCUGAGGCGACGCUCUGUGUUCCCGUCGAACUCUUUAUCUUUUUCUCGCCACUCGUGGUCCCAUGGCAACCAUCUCCGAUGACCAAGGUAACAAACUUUUCCCGCGUGCCAACCAGAAGUUACAUCUUCCUUGCAUACAGGACAUGCCAUAUAACCCUUUGUGCUCCACCCAGAAACCAUUGCAUAUGCUGGAAAAUCAUUCACAGUCCACAUAACUGCUGCUCGCAAAGUGAACAUCCUCCCAGUUGAUUUAUCGUACGUGCGAACACCGUUUGUCCAUAAAUCCUUCAGCUCAUCAACCAGAGGCCUUAAGUACACAUCAAUUGACCUGCCAGGAUCCUCAGUUAUCAAAACAGUCAUCAUCAUGUAUUCUUUUUUCAUGCAUUUCCAAGGCGGCAAAUUAUAUGGGAAUGCGAAAAUCGGCCAAGUGCUGUGGUGUUGGUUUAGAACCCCAUACGGAUUGAAUCCGUCAGUGGCAAGUCCCAAUCUAACAUUUCGGGGAUCAGCAGCAAAUUCGGGGAACGUUCGAUCGAACUCUUUCCAUGCCUCCCCAUCUGCAGGAUGCCGCAUCACAUCAUCGUCUACCCGUUUUUCCUUAUGCCAUCUCAUGUCUGUGGCAGUAUGCGUUGACAUAUACAAUCGCUGCAACCUAGGUUUAAGGGGCAGAUAACGCAUGACUUUUUGUGGUAUCUUAGUCGUUCUAUUCUGGGAUGUCAGUUUGAACCUCGACUCAUUGCAUAUAGGGCAUGUAUCCAACGUUUCAUGCUCUUUGUAGAAUAACAUGCAAUUGUUUUUGCAAGCGUGGAUUUUUUCAUAACCCAAUCCAAGACCGUGCAACACCUUCUGUGCAUGUUUAUGGUCUUUCGGCAAACAAUUGUCCGUCGGAAGCAUUCUCUUGAAAACCCCCAAAAAGUAAUCAAAACACAAGUUCGACAUACGAUACUUUAUUUUUCCGUGCAUUAGCUCCACAAUGGCAGUGAGAACGGAAAACCUCUCGCACCCCGGGUAUAACUCUUGGUUGGCAUUUUUUAACAGUUUUUCAUACUGUUCAAACUCCGCACUGUCUAUUGGUGUAGGCACGUCAUCUUCCCCUUCCUGAUUGAUGUUGGUCGAUGCGAAUGGAAAAGCAUCCUGUAUAAUACCCAUGACUUGAUCAUUAGGAUCCACAAUAGGUUCAACAUUGUCCACUCUCGGGGCAUUUGAAGACGAAGCAUGGUCUACUUGUUCGCCGUGAAGGUUCCAAAUGCUAUAUGUUUCAAUCAUUCCAUUCCUUACUAAAUGAAAUCCAACAUUUUCAAUUGUCUCCCACAACGUGUUGUUACACCUCCUACAAGGACAACGGAUUCUAGUUGCACCCGGGUUGUGUCUACGUGCAAACUCAAUAAAAUCCUCGAUUCCAUCCAAGUAUUCGUCUGCGCAUCUAUUCGGGUUCUGUAUCCACCUUCUGCUCAUAAUUCCUGAAACCACAAUCACGACACAACAAUCACAACAACUUCAUACGAAGUUAUAAUGUCACCUUAUGCCUCCGGUAAGGGCCCUAUCCCAUUCGGGAAUGCAUAGUCCUGUCACGUAACCUACGGCUACAUGAGAUUAGAUUUCGACGUGGAUUAAUUUCAGCAGCAUCUCGACACAGUUCUUGAAGUGGGCAUAGGUAUAAAUACCUACGUACCACCCGAAGAACGUACCGAGAUGACACCGAAAUCUCCACAAUCGAAACCUAAUCCUGUAGCCGAAGAUUAUGUGACAACACUAUGCAUUACCAAACUGUCCAAAUAAUGGGACAAUUCAAGAAUUAAUUGGACCGCAGUCAUGCAUUACGCAUCCAUGCACGAAAUUCAACUAAUCUCGAACGGGAAACUACGUGUUACUAAACAUAAAAAUAAAAGUACGAAGUUAAUUUCAAUUAACUUCGUACAUCACAACACAUUGUGCUAUGUCACGCACAAUUUCACAACAUUAUACACAUAUAACUUCACAAAAAAAUUACAAACAUAACAAACAAACUUUUACAAUAACAUACCUUCUCAAUCGUUCUCCACCAAUCACAAAUAUCCCUAACGAUAACAAAAUUAAUAGCGUUACUACGAAUUUACAUUAAUACAUUUAAACUAACGACAAAAAAUACAUACCCAAUGAACGUACUGAAUUCACAGUAGAGCAACGGCAGAGAGAGUGAGAGAGAGGUAGAAUGCAGUGGGAGAGUGAGAGAGAGGCAGAAUGCAGAAACUGCAUUCUGCCUCUGCAAUGGAACUGGCUAAAAUGAAGAAGAAGGACUUUGCGCGACUAACAAUCCAAUCCGUCGCGCAAAAUGCCGUCGCGAAAACCCACUUUUCCGUCGCACAAAAAAACAUUUCCGUCGCGCAAUUACCUGCCGACAUCAGGUUUUUUGCGCGACGAAUACAAUUAUCCGUCGCACAAACAUCCGUCGCGCAAAUAACAUUAUUCGUCGCGCAAGGUUUAUAUUACGUCGCGCAAAUAACACUUAUUUCGUCGCGCAAGAAAUUACACUUUACGCGACGAAGGUAAUUCCGUCGCGCAAAAAAGUUUUUUCCACCCUGCAUUUUGCCGCCAAAAUUAAGUAACCCUCGUUUUCUUACGCGACGGUACAUAUUUCCGUCGCGCUAAGGCGUCUUUUGCGACGAAAAUGUUCGUCGCGCAAGAUUCUGGCGCCAAAAACAUAAACUGGGGAUUUUUCCCCGACCUUUGCUCGACGAAAUUAGUUUUGGUCGCGCAUAGAUUGUUUGCGCAACGAAGAUUGUUCGUCGCGCUAGUGUUCUGCUGUUUGCGCUACGGUAUUUUUUUUUCGUCGCAAUAGUGAUUUUUGCGCGACGAAAAUAUAUUCGUCGCGCAAACGUCCGUCGCGCAAAUAGUAAAUCGUAGUAGUGUGAUUUGGUUUAGACUUGGUUUAAUUAUCAUUGUUGUGGUUGGUUCACCAAAAAGAUUUGGCUUAGAAUUACCAGUUUUGUUGUUGGUUUAGUUAUGCUUGGCAUUUGAGGAUCCUAUGCUUACUUGUAUGGGUAAUACAUUUUAUUGAUCGUUUCAUAUACUAAUUAUGAACUUUUAGUUCCAUUGUGCAUUUAAGAGUACACAUAUUUCAUAUGUAAUUCGAAAGUUUGUCGCUGAAAUUUCUGAGAAUUUGAAACUAGAUAAGCACACCUUGCACAAAGUUCAUAUAUUUUCUUCCAGCAAGUCUGUCUAUUAACCCCCCUUAUCUGAAAUUAAUUGUUAAAAGUUCUGAUUCAUCUUUAAUCAUUGUCUUACCCUUGUUGAAUAACACUCCUCAUUCUAAUUUAUAUUCGAAGUUUGAGGUUUCAAUUUCAAUUGUGGGCUUUGAUUUUACAGAUUUUGUUUGUCAAUUUCAAUUUGGACAAAGCAUAUGCAAACAAAGUAAGGCAUUAUCUAUUAUUUGGAUCAUUUCCAUAUGUUUAUAUGUUUUUAAUAUCAUUUGCCUAUGUAGUUGACAUGUUAUAACAUUUUCGUAGUGUUGAAUAUAUAUAUAUAAUAAUUUUAUUUUAGUGGAUGUGAGAUCUCAGUUUGUUGCUUUAUAUAAUUAUUUCUUUGCAAUUUAAUUUUUUUUAUCAGUCAUACUAUUGUUGACGGCUAAAAACCAUCAAGAAACAACUCUUAAGUUUUUUAAAAAAUAAAUAAAUAAAUAAAGAUUUGUUGAUGCUUAAAAAGCAUCAAGAAAAGAUAGUUUCUUGACGGUUUUGUGACGUUUCAUAACCGUCAUGAAACAUUACAUUUUGACGAACGUCUUUCUGAUAGUGGCAUCCGUGACGCUUUCCGAGCCAUCAAUUAAGGGCUAUCGUGAUGCUUUUUAGUUGUCAGCAAAAGGUGUUUUUCUUGUACUGUAUUCACUCAAAAUCGUUUUUCAUUUAGGGUUGCUAGUGUGGUUGAAUGCCAUUUGUUUUGUUAAUGAAUAUUAUACAUUAUGGAUUUUUGUAGAAAUGUCGCUUGAAAUUAUACCUCAGUUUCAAUUUGUCACCUUAAAGAAAAAUUUAAGAGAAAUGUCACCUUAAUUUUUCAAAAUCCACGAUUUGUCAUCUCACUUUAACAUCAUCCAAUUUUCCAUCUAUUUUAAGGGUAUUUUAGUCUUUUCAUUUUCAAGGGAAAAAAAGAGAGGAAGAAAAAGACCUCUCUCUUACUUUCUCCCCCAACCCAACCCCACCCGCCCCCCAAAACACAUCGCAUAGGACCGCCUCCCCCUUCCCCACAUUUCUUUUUUCUUUUUGGCCUACUUUUCCACUAUGUUUAUGUUGAAGGAUCUAAAGUUUUCUUGGUCACCAUCUAUUACGUAGGCUACCGACUUGUUGGUUUGGGUGGGUUGAGGGAAUUUGUGUGUGGAGGGCAGGUGUUCAUGUUGUGUGCACCAAGACCUUAUCGUUGAUGAACUAUGUGACGGCACACACACAAACUCGUUGAGAAUAAAACAAACAUACCACCAAGAGAGUAAAACAAACACACAAGGACACAAAGAUUUAUAGAGGUUCGGCCUCCUGCCUACGUCUUUUUGGUGAUUCACUCGAGAAAUUCACUAGUAUGUAAAAAUAACUUUGGUUACAACUGAACCCCCUUAGCCCUCACAAGAACCUUAGAUCUCUUUUCUCUCACCCUUGCUCAAACCCUUUGAUGCCCUUGUAGACACUCAAGAAUUCACCCUUGAAUUCUAUCUUGUGUUACAUCUUCUCUUCUCCCUUUUGUUAACCUAACCCUAAAAGUCCUAUUUAUAAUGCAUAGGACUUAAGUUACAAGUUAACUUGGAAUAGGAAACAUAAAAUACCCCAAAAAUUGGAGAAAAUCUGUCCAAAUCUAGCCUGCAAAAUCAUCCUUCUGCCGCUCGAGCUGCCGGUGGCGCUCAUGGGAUGGGGGAAUUGGAGAUUUUCUUUUCAAUUUUAAUUGUUUAAAAGAUAUACAAUUUUUUAUUAUAAUAAUUUUUCCAUUUUUAAAAUACACUUGAAAAUAGAAAGCUUAAAAUGCCCUUAAAAAUAGAUGGAAAAUUGGAUGGUGUUAAAGUCAGAUGACAAAUCAUGGAUUUUGAAAAAUUAAGGUGACAUUUCUCUGAAAUUUUUCUUUUAAAAGUGACAAAUUGAAACUGAGGUAUAAGUUCAGGCGACAUUUCUACAAAAAUCCCUAUACAUUACAAUAUUAUAACAAUAAAAUUGGCUAAAAUUGAUAUGUUCCCUCUUUUCUUUUCUUUUUCUCUUUUCCUUUUCAUUUUAUGCUUUGUUGCUAUUGCUAUGUUUAUCCUACAAAUAUAGCAACUUCUCCACCAUUCAUUUGUUAGUGACUACGAUGCUUAGUAACUUCUUCAGCUCCCCUUAUUUCCAUGUACUAACCAGGGACACCAGGUCAGCAUCUUCGGUAAGAAUCCUAACUCAAUCAAACAAUGACAUCUGUAAAUAUUCAAAAUUGGAAUUUGCAUUGUGAUAGUUGAAAGCAUCCUUGUCCCAAAAAAAGCCAAAAAAUAAAAUAAAAUUGAGAGCAUUAAGUCCUUUUCAAAUUAUGCUAAUAUGCAAAAUUGGAAUUUUGAUGGAGUUGCUUCCUUGACUUUUCCACCUUUGUAUCCAGUCCACUUUGCACAAGGAGCCAAGUUUGAGAGAUAGUUUUCUGUAUUUACACCAUCCAGGAGAAAAUUAAAAAACUAUUUCAUGCCAAACUAACUACGGAUUCUUGCAAAGGACCCAUUAGUGUAGUGGUUUGGAGUAUUUACUCCCUCAGGCAAGGUCUUGGGUUCGAGUCCUAGCAUUCAUGUUGUGUGUGUGAGUUUAAUAUGCUAUCACCCCUUCCAAUAGGAAAGGACCUCAAAAAAAAAAAAAAAACUACAGAUUCUUUAAUUGAAAGAAACCCCAUAUUAAUCAUCCUUUGGCACAUAAAUGUUUGGUAAUUGGCAUUAAAGUAUCUAAAGGUUACGAAAUUAAAGAUUUUAAUGCAAACCUAAAAUUGGAAAAGAGGGCACCAAUUCAUGUAAAAUAUGGUGUACUUAGUAGAUCCAACAUAUUUUUUUAGCAACCAAGGACAAUCAUCAUUUUUUUUUUUAAGAACCAAGGAUAGCUUACAUUCUAGUUUGUCCAUCAUGUCAACACAUUUAUAAUUAAAACUUCUUUUUUGGUGAGGUUUCAAUUUUUGUCACUGUAACAAGACCACAAUUGCCAUUCAGUAUGCUAACAUUGUCACUAUGUUUGCCAAUUGCAUAUUAUCUAGAACAUAAAGGCUUUGGUGUUUUGUAUAUCCUCGGGGUGCCAAACCUGUCUUUAUAAAAAUGGUCCUUAUGAUACUACUUUAACAACAAAAAAAUAUAAUAAACUAGGCCUUUGUAGUCACUGAACGAAUGUUUUCUCAUAGAUAUGACUAUUUAAAUGUAAUUACGGGAUUAAAACAUUAUAAUAAAUUGGAGUGAACCAUAACAUUAUAUAUGAUCCAAUCCUUUUCAUAUAUUUUUGUUCAAGACUUUGUUUUAGAAUGCUCUUUUACUAAUUUGGUACAGGUCCCUAAAAUCUACGCCUUUAUGAGGCAACGUCUUUAUUUCUUUGGUUAUUCCAGUUUAGAAUAUAUUUGUACAAAUGAGAUGACUCCCAACAUAAAGUCACAUUCAACCAAAAAGCAUGAAGUCACACACAAAAAGAACACGGACAAUUGCUAAGUUUAUCUUGUAUCCUUAUUUUAUUGAUCCAACCCAAUUGAAAAAUAAAAAAGAUGAUAUAAUAUAUUGUUCACUGCUUACAUCCAUGAGUAAAGUCCUCCAUUUGAAAUUGCGUGAUUAUACAAAAUUGGAAUGAAAAAAGAAAAUCCUACAACUAAAUUUGAUAUAUUCCUUUUCAUUUUAUGUUGGAUGUUAAGUUUUCUUGUUUCUUGUUGAAAAGAAAAAUGAAAAGAAAUAAAUAAAUUACACAGCUAGCAACUUCUCCACCUUCCCUUCUUCCCAUGUACUGACAACAAGGGAGGCCUUCAAUCCAAAAUAAAGACAAGGGAUGCCAGGUCAGCAUCUCAGAUAAGUAUCCCAACCAAAACCAAUCAAAUAAUGACAUAUGUAUCUCUUUUUGUGUUUUGUUCUAUUUCUCUUUGAAUUAACUGCGAAGUUUCAUAAGCGUGUCCUCCUUUUGAAAUUGUGUAUUAUUCAAAAUUGGAAUUUGCUGGUCAUACUUGAUAUAAGCUAAAACAGUUUCCAACAUCUUGUACCAUUUUUUUCCAGUGUGGGUCAUAACUUGAAGAAGCCCACCGACAAUUUCUCAAAAGCUAUUACCAUCCAACUUUGAAAAAUAAAAGUUUCAAAAGUUACCCCAAACAACAGCCCUUGAAAGAGAGUUUUCCAAGGCUAAAGAUUACAAGGAUGUUAUUGGCACAUGCAUUAACGUGUGACAAGAAGUUAGUUAUAUUUAUAAAGUAAAAGAACGAAGUACAUAACAUGUAAGUUGAUGCCAAAUAUUUGAUCAACAGAGCUAAACAUAAAACCACGACAAUAUAACGUUGUUCACCAAAAAUUGUGUUUCGUUGAGGGUCAGUAGUGUAGGUUUCAAGAUACGAUUUAUUUUGUUAAAGAAUAUUCUGAUAUUCUAACAAUAAAAUUGGCUCAAUUUGAUAUGUUUCUUUUUUUUUUUGUUUUUGUUUUCCCUUUCAUUUUAUGCUUUGUUGUGCUAUUGCUAAGUUUAUCCUAGAGACCAGGGAUGCUUAGCAAGUUUCUUCACCUGCCCUUCUUCCCAUGUACUAACUAGGGAUACCAUGUCAGAAUCUUAGAUAAGAAUCCCAACCCAAUCAAACUAUGACAUCUGUAAGUAUUCAAAAUUGGAAUUUGCAUUGUGAUAGUUGAGUGGAAGAAUCGAUUAAGGCUUGAGUGGAAGACAAACUUCAGUGGAGGAAAGUAAUUAAUCUCACAAGACAUAGCCCAUCAGUUGGCUCAUUUUUCUUGAGUGUGUAGUCCUGGCCUUGAGGCGAGGCCACAUUGCUUUGGAGAUUUCUUUCUACUUGGUGAAAUUAUAAUUUAGAAGAAGCAAACUGCGUUUUGCAAUUUGUGCGAUUCAAGCAUAUCUGACACUAGUAAUUAGACCAUAAUCUUUGUCCGACCAGAAAAUAAGAAAAGUUGUCUUGUACCAUUUCUGCCAGUGUGGGUCCCACCCACCCCAUACGAGUAAUUUGAAGAAGUCCACCGACAAUUUCCCAAAAGCUUUGGCGUCCAACUUUGCCGACCCCAUCCCCAUGUGAGGCCAUAGAAAAGUUUUCAGCCACAAUCAAAGAAGGGAACAGUCCUUGAAAAGAGAGGGUUUUCCAAGGCCAAGAUUACAAGUUCAUGUUAUUUACAGUCUCAAAAAGCUUCCAUACUUGUUUACAAACCUGUAUUUUCAAGUUGUGCUAGCCUAGCUAUUUGCAAAUCUUGGAAUAUUUUACUUCAUCCAAAUCCCUUGCAGUCUGCAGAGAAGAUAAAAGACAUGGCUUUGAUUGGAGAGGCUCUUAUCUCUGCUUCCGUCCAGGUGUUGUGCGACAGAAUUACUUCACCCGAGUUCGUUGACUUAUUUUGGCACAAGAAACUCGAUGAGCCACUCCUCAGGAAGCUGAGGACGACACUGUUGGCCUUGAACUUGGUGCUCAAUGAUGCAGAGGGGAAGCAACUUGUGAACCGAGAUGUGAAAAAGUGGCUUGACGAGCUCAGACAUGCUGUCUUUGAUGCGGAGGACUUACUGGAUGAGAUUGACACUGAAGCUUUGCGAUGCAAGCUGGAAGAAGGUGAAGAUCAAACUCACAAAUUUACCAAUAAGGUGCGGAACUUGCUCUUUUCUCCUCGUAGUCAUUUUUAUCAGAGCAUGAAUGAUAAGAUAAAAGAGUUACUAGCAAGGUUAGAAAACUUUGUACAACUGAAAAGUGCUCUUGGUCUGGGAGAAGUUGCUGGGAGGAAGGUUUCGCAAAGAACUCAAACAACCUCCUUGGUUCUUGAACCUUAUGUAUAUGGUAGAGAUGAAGUCAAAGAAAAGUUAUCAAAAGUGUUGCUAUCUGAUGAAGCAGGCAAGGAUCCUGUGUCUUUCCUCACCAUUGUUGGAAUGGGUGGGGUUGGCAAGACAACCCUUGCUCGAAUGCUUUACAAUGACGAUAAGGUGAAAGGGCAUUUUAAACUUAAAGCUUGGGCUUGUGUUUCAGACUACGAUGAUUAUAUUAAAAUUACUAAAACUCUCCUUGAGGCAGUCACUUCAAAGCCUUGUAACACGGCAAAUCUGAAUUUGCUUCAAAAAGAUCUAAGAGAGCAAUUGAGGGGAAGGAAAUUUUUAUUUGUGUUGACCUAUGGAAUGAGAAUAAUGAGGAUUUGAACUACCUUAGAGCUCUUUUUAUUACUUUAGGAACAAUGGGAAGUAAAGUCAUUGUAACAACACGGAACAAAAAUGCAGCAUCUGUCAUGCAAAAUGUUCAUAUUCAAUACUUAGAACCAUUGUCGUAGGAGGACUGCUGGUUAUUACUUGCAAAACAUGCAUUUGGAAAUGAAAAGUGUAGUGCACAUUCAAACUUGGAAGACAUUGGAAAGCAAAUUGCACUCAAGUGCAAAGGGUUGCCUUUAGCUGCACAAACACUUGGGAGUUUGUUACGUUGCAAUAUGGAUUUCGAGUACUGGAAUAGAAUACUAAAUGAUAGUUUUUGGGACCAACCCUAUGAUAAAACUAACAUUCUUCCGGCUCUAGGGUUGAGUUACCAUUAUCUUCCUACUCAGUUGAAACGAUGCUUUGCUUAUUGUUCAAUUUUUCCAAAGGAUUAUGAGUUUGAAAAGGAAGAUAUAGUUCAAUUAUGGAUUGCAGAAGGUAUAAUUCCACAAGCUGAGAAUGGAAAAAGGAUGGAAGCAUUGGCUAGAAUAUACUUUGAUGAGCUGUUAUCACGAUCGUUGUUUCAAAAGUCAAGUAAAUUCAGCUUCAUUAUGCAUGAUCUCAUUAAUGACUUGGCUAUGUUCAUGUCUCAGGGGUUUUGCCUUAGGCUCGAAGAUGGGGUAUCCCGUGAAGUUAAAAGAGCUCGUCAUUUGUCAUAUGCUAGGGGAGAAUUUGAUGCUGCUCCAAGAUUUGAACCAUUAUAUGAGGCUAAAUGUUUGCGGACCUUCCUACCUACCAUUUGUUGUGGGCAAAUCUACUGGAUCAGGCAUAAGAGAACUGAGGCAGUUCCCGCAACUUCGAGGAAAACUAUCAAUUUUGAAGCUACAAAAUGUAGUUGAUGCGAGGGAUGCACUGCACGCCAAUAUGAAGCACAAGAAAGAUCUCAAGGAGUUAGAGCUUUCAUGGGGUGCGGAGGAUGCUGAUGAUUCCCAAAAGGAGAAAGAUGUACUCGACAAGCUCCAGCCUUGCGUGAAUUUGGAGAAAUUAACCAUCAAAUUCUAUGGUGGAACUAAUUUUCCGAAUUGGUUAGGAGACUCGUCUUUUUCUAACAUACAAGUCAUGCAUCUCAGUGACUGUAGUUAUUGUUGGUCGCUCCCACCAGUUGGACCGCUACCGGCACUCAAACAGCUCUGUAUAAGAAGAAUGAAGUUUGUGAAGACGAUUGGCGUUGAAUUCUAUGGCAGAAAUGGAGCUUAUCUGACUCAGCCAUUUCGAUCUCUGGAGAAGCUAGAGUUUAGGGAGAUGCCAGAGUGGGAGGAAUGGGUACCAAGUGGAAGUGCAAGUGGAGGUGAAUAUGGUCCAGACUUUCCUCGUCUCCAGGAGCUGAUUCUAUACGAGUGUCCGAAGCUAAGAGGAAGUUUGCCUUGUGAGUUGCCUUGCUUGAAGAAGCUUACGGUGUAUGGGUGUAAGGUUUUACAUGAUGGAAGGGCCAUUACCGCAACUACCAAUAGUCUUAACUAUAAAUCUCUGGAAGAAUUGAAUAUAAGUGGUGGAUGCCAAACUCUGUUAUCAUUAUUAGAGACAAAGCUCCUGUCCGGACUUGAGAUUCGAAAUGUUGUUGACAUACAGUGCUUGCCCAACUGCAGUCGUCUUCAACAUUUGACUCUUUCGAAUUGUCCAACGCUGUCAUCAUUUCCCAAAGAUGGCCUACCCACUACAUUGACAUCACUUUAUAUAAACAAUUGUAGGAAAUUAGAAUUCCUACCUCAUGAGAUGUUGGCCAAAUUAACAUCGCUUGACUAUUUGUGCAUACAAAAUAGCUGUGAUUCAAUGAGGUCCUUCCCGUUGGGCAUUUUUCCCAAAUUGACGAGGCUUGAAAUUCGUGGUUGUGAGAAUCUGGAAUCCCUUUCCUUGAUUGAAGAAGAAGGAGCUGUUGAGAAUCUCAGCCAUCUCAAUUACUUGCAAGUCUAUAACUGUCCAAAAAUGGUGUGUUUUCACGAGGGAGAAUUGCCCACUCCCAACCUGAGUCACUUUGUAGUCGGUGGUUGCGAGAAUUUGAAGUCAUUGCCCAAAAGCCUUCACACCCUCACUGCCCUUCGAUCUUUGUCGAUAUGUAAUCUUCCGAAUCUGGAGUCAUUUGCAGAAGAUGGGGGUUUGCCUCCCAACCUCCGACAAGUAAGUAUUAGGAAUUGUGAGAGACUGAGGGCUUCAUCAGUGGGUUUGCAAGCACUUGACUCCCUUGAGAUCAGUGGAAGUGACCAUGUAUUCUCUAUCACACUCUUCACAUCUAUUCUCUAUCAACUCUGAAAUCUUUGGACGGAAAGGGUCUUGGACACCUCACUUCUCUUCAAGAGCUAGAUAUUAACAGGUGUCCAAGUCUGGAAUUCCUGCCAGGAGAGGAACUUCAACACCUCACUUCUCUUCAAAAUCUAUACAUUUGGAACUGUCCCAGUCUUCAAUGCUUGCCAGAAGAGGGUUUUCCAUCAUCUCUUUCUCAUCUGAGUAUCCGCCGGUGUCCUACCCUGGAGGAAAGGUAUAAGAAUAAAACGGGACGAGAUUGGGCCAAGAUAUCUCACAUUCCUUGCAUCGAGAUAGGCAACGAAGUGAUCAUAUAAUAUGAGCUAUUCCAUAUUUCACGCUCAACCCUCAACUCUCAAAUCAAAGUCAGGUGAGGUAUGUGCCUUCUCUUACUUUAAAAAACUGCUGCUCAAUAACACUCUUCGCACUCUAUAUAUUAUGGCCUGUCAGUCUAAAAUUCCUGCCAGGAGAGGAACUUGAACGCCUCUCUUCACUGCAAAGGCUACAUAUUUGUGGGUGUGACAAUAUCCAAUUCCUGCCAGAAGAGCGUUUGCUGCAAUCUCUUUCUUAUCUGUGCAUCGACCAUUGUUUUGCCAUGUAGAAAAGGUAUCUCACAUUCCUUGCGUCAAGAUAGGUGAAGAAGUGAUCAUAAGAUAUGAGCUCUCUCUCCCUCUCGCUCACAUACAAAGUACUUAAAACACUCAAUCUGAUUUCUAUUAUUAUUUUGCUCAGUAAAUUUUGUUUAAAUUUGCUUUGUUUCUCAUUGCGCUUGUUCUGCUUAUCACAACUUAUAUCCUAUUUAAAUCUCAAAUGCUGAAUAGUUAGCAGUCUUUUCGCAGGACAGCAUAUCUUCUCUUGGAGAGCUAUUCAUUUGCAAGGUUUCUUUAUGUGUCAUUUCCAGAGGAGGGUUUACUAUUUAAUAGAAAGGUUCACCUGGAAUAUCUCAAAUGACACAUUCCCAAAUACAGGCAUUGAAUGCACAACAUUUUGAGGUACUAUUUUUGUAAUAAAAAUGUACUUGAGUCUCAUUUGAGCUAGUUUAAAUUGUAUUCAAUGUCUAUGGAUAACCUGUGAGCUUAAGUUGUAAGAUAAAACUCACAGUAUAUUAUUAGGGUUUAGGGUUCAACAGGUGAGCUUAAGUUGUACUUUCCUAGGUACUGCAUGUAUAUUAUCUUAGUAUCAACACUUGGUCUUAUGUGGACGAGAGAGAACAUUUGAGGAAUUACAAAAUCUUCUUAGUGAAUUAAGCUUGUUUCAGCUCUGUUUGUCAUCCCUCACAUUUUCUUUGUUAAGCCUUGAUUUUUUAUUAGACAUACGAAAAAAUGCUUUUAUAAGACAGGAGAUGAAUGCUUUUAUAUGUUGAUGUCGUAGUCAGUCUUCAACCACACUCUGUUUUUAGAAUUCAUUUAUGUUACUAGUUGAGAGCUGCUGUAUUUUAUAUUUCGUUCCUGUAAUGUUUGGAUGUUUAGCUUGAGCAGUCUAGCUUAUCCAGUAGAUAACUUGUCCCCUGUUUUGUAAUGUUUUUGUUUCCUCUAAUGAAAGCAGGUUUUACUUAUCUUGAACUGCAGAAGCCUACUUUUUGACAUAGGUGGCAUGGCACAAACUCGCAUCCGCAUUUCCAUCCCCAUUGGCAUGCUGUCUCAUCUUUUCUAUUCUGUUACCAGCUUGAAGCUUGUGUGGACAUGUUAUGCUCUUGUAAUUCUGAUCACAAACAUCACUUGACAAAUGGAAAGUCACAAUCAGAUCUUUCAGGUGAUCUGGAGGUUUACUUUCUAACAUUUGUUUUCGUGGGGGGGAGACAACAAUACAGAAUUUAAAAUUUCUGAUAAUCAAUAGUAGUUUGCAUAUAUCAGCUGGGACCUGUAUGACUGUAUUAUGUAAUUAAUUAUUUCUCUUAUUGUUUGGGUACUGUUAAAAGGAGUUAGCCACACAACAUAAAAAAGGAGGUCUCUUAUUUCAUACAAUUUUUCAAAUGUGAUCAUUAAUCCGUUUCUUUUUCAACAAUAGAGGAAUGUAUACUAAUCGUCUGGUCCAUCUGCUGCUUCACUCCCUAGUAGCUUCAUCUCCUGUCCUUUGCUUUAUUUCUGUUGAUGAAUGUUUUGUCUGGGUUAUUUAUUUUCAUUUCAUGUCCAUUGCUUUAUUUCUGUUUGGAUUCUUAAUUAAAUCUGUCCUGGACUUGAACAAGGGUUAGGUUAGCUGUAUAAUUUGCGGUUUUAUAUACACAACUGUCUACAUUGAUUAAAACCAGCAUUAUUCUAAGGUUCAUUUAGAAUGUAUUAUCACCAAAAUUAUAAAGAAUACUUCUAUUACAAUUAAUUUGUUGAUUCUAAUUUGGACUUGUAGGAACAGACCAAACAUGUUCAUGCGUGGCAUUGCUCAAGUCAUCAUCAUUCGAGACAGAGAAUAAGCCUUCAAGUGUCUGCUGAGUCAAUGAACCUUUCUAGAUAUCUCAAGUGUAAUGGAAAUUGAUGAGUUACAAAGGAUUUGUAAACAUUUUCUACUGGAGGCUAGAAAUGCUUCAAAUAAAUGACCGUGUUGCAAUUAUUUUGUAGGAUCAAAGACUCUGCAAAGAGGUAAGAAAGUCAUCAUCAAGUAACUUUGCUCUUCAAACUUUUUAUUUUUAUUUUUAAAUAUCAGUAAUAACUGGGAAAGCUUGCAUCUCCUUAAAUUGCUCAUUCUUACAUCUUUUAUAGUUUGUUGAUCUUGGGCAAGUGGAGAGAGAGGCGUCAAGUGAUACGCAACAACCAUUUUCUGUGAGCUGAUUUGAUAAAGAGAAAUGGUAUGCUUUCUUGUCUUAAGCGGUGUGUUCUGCAAUUAUUUGAAACAAAGGAUGCCGCACUUCAAGUUCGAGAAAAUCAGGUAUUUUAGUAUUUUAUUCUUGAGAAAUUUGAUUUAUGUAGAAACUUGAACAUGUAAAUAAAAUAAAUAAAAUAUAUUAUAUGCUGUUAAUGAGUUAAUAUGGUGCUUGCUUCUAGUUGGAAAUUUAUGUAGUCAUCUACCUAUGAUCAAAUAAAGAUGAAGAAUAAAAUAUAAUUGAGAGCAUCUUCCUCUCCCCUGCUUUGCUCAUCCCUUGUUCUUCCACUUCAGCCCCACUAUUACACCAUUUUUUCAGCCACAAUUAUAAUAGCUCCAUGAGCAUUAAGUCCUUUUCAAAUUCUGCUGACAUUCAAAAUUGGAAUUUGCUGGUGAUAUAUGAUAGCAUCUUUGUCCGACCAAAAAGAGAAAAAAAAAAAGUUGAUAGCAUAUUGUACCAUUUUGGCCAGUGUACGCAAUAUUAUUGCAUCCAACUUUGCAUAUUAACAUCAGUGGCCACAGUUCCAUGAUUUGAGUGCACAGAAAAGUUUCAAAAGUUGUCCCACAAAGAACAGUCGUUCAAAGUGAAAGAGAGAUUUCAAAGCUUAAUUACAAGUUCAUGUUAUUUACAAUAUCAAAAAGCUUUCAUACUUGCUUACAAACCUGUAUUUCCAAGUUCUGCAAACCUUGGAAUAUCACUUCAUCCAAAUCCCCUUCCAAAGCAGGAAAAAAUGGCAGCAGCUUUGAUUGGAGAGGCUCUCAUCUCUGCUUCUAUCGUGGUGUUGUGUGACAGAGUUACUUCAGCCGAGUUCAUAGACUUAUUUCAGCAGAAGAAACUUGAUGAAACACUCCUCAUGAACCUGAAGACGACACUGUUGAUUUUGUUUGCGGUGCUCAAUGAUUCAGAGGAGAAGCAAAUUGUGAACCCUGAAGCUUUGCGAUGCAAGCUGGAAGGUGAGGAUCAAACCCACAAUAAUUAACCAAAAAGGAUCUUUUUGAUUGUUUGAAAGGAGGGUCUUGAUGAUUUGAAAGGAGAGGGUUGCUUUAUUUCUGUUGGAUGCUUAAUUAAAUCUUAUUUGGAGUUGAACAAGGAUUAGGUUAGCUGUAUAAUUAGUGGUAAACGCCUUUUUCUAAGGGUCAUUUAGACUCCUAUUACGAUUAAUUUGUUGUUUCUAAUUUGGACUUGUAGGAACAGACCAAAUAUGUUCACACGUGGCAUCGCUCAAGUCAUCAUCAUUUCAGACUGAAAAUCAGCCUUCGAGUGUCUGUUGAGUCAAUAAACCUUUCUAGAUAUAUCAAGUGCAAUGGAAAUUCAUGAGUUACAUAGAGAUUUUUAAACAUUUUGAAGAUUGCAACACCUGCAAGUGAGAUAGGCGGUGACGAAAUCAGAGCUGAUUUUGAAGCCUCUGAUGCCCCUGUUGUUGCAAGUUGCACCUGAGAACAAGUUUUUUUUUUCUUUGGGGUAAAAAACUGGCAACAUGUUCGGAGCUGACAAUUCAAUCCCUGAUGAACUAGAGAAGCAAAGCUCCGGUAAGGAAAUUGGUCAAGGUUGUGACAGGGAUGAUUGAUGGUGAAAUGGAUGCUAUUUCUUAUUGCAGCCUGUUCUCAAAGUUCUUGUUGGCAAAUGCAAUUGAUGGAGUAUUUUGAUUGGGAGGAGAGAUAAUGACAUGGCUUGACAAUUCUAGAACAGCCCAUCAUUAAUCCCAGAAAAAAUCCCGUUUCUGCUAAACAAUCACUUAUGGCAAGGCCAACUCUGUAAAUGGAAUUUGUGAUCCCUUCAAAUUGUACACAUUUUUUCUUUUUGAGGAAUUUAAUCAAACAGUAUUCUAAUGCAUUAUGAUAGCACUACACGCUUUUGUUGUAACAAAUUACAAGGAGGAAUUUGGAUUGAGUUUCUUGUAUAAGCACACCUUACACAAAUUUCGUAUAUUUUCUUCCAGCAAGUCUGUUUAUUAACCCCCUUAUCUGAAAUUAAUUGUUAAAAGUUUUGAUUCAUCUUUAAUCAGUGUCUUACCCUUGUUGAAUAACACUCCUCUUUCUAAUUUAUAUUUGAAGUUUGAGCUUUCAAUUUCAAUUGUGGGCUUUGAUUUUUCAGAUUUUGUUUGUCAAUUUCAGUUUGGACAAAGCAUAUAUGCAAACAAAGUAAGCAUUUUAUGUUAUACUUUUGAACUAGGUGUUGAUUUGAUUUAAUCAUAAGUUUUGCUGGUGCAUUUACUAGGCUAAUCAUUCAAUACUUUUGAUCAUAGAACUUCUUUGGUUGAUAUUAUCUUUGUUAAGUUUAACCAUAACUUUAGAGAGGGGACUUCAACAGAUUUAUAAUCUCAUCAUUAUAGUAUUAAAAAUUAGAGAUUAUUUAAGGCAUUGUCUAUUAUCUGAAUUCUGCUUACUUUUAGUUCAUAUGUUUACAUCUUAGCAUAUUCAUGUGAUUAGUGCGGCUCAUACCACAAAGGCAAUUUUAGGCUCAUCAAGUGCUAAGCAAUGUCAAGCUUCCAAAUGACAAGUUCUCUACAUAGUUUGAGACCUACACUUACUAGAUAUUAGAUCAUUUCGAUCAUUUCCAUAUGUUUAUAUGUAAUUGACAUGUUAUAACAUUUUUGUAGCGUUAUAUAAUUAUUUAGCAAUUUAAUUAUUUCUUUGCAACUUAAUUUUUUUUGUCAAUCAUACUAUUGUUGACUGCUAAAAACCAUCAAGAAAUAGUUCUCAAGUUAUAAAAAAAAAAAAAUUUUAAAAAAGAUUUGUUGAUGCUUAAAAAGCAUCAAGAACAGAUAGUUUCUUGACGGUUUUGUGACAUUUCAUAACUGUAGGGGGCUUUUUCUUCCGACAGCUGUAAAUGGGCUGGGCUGCCGUAAAGGGCAGACUGAUGAAAUUGUCCCCUUUUGUAUGAGCUCAAAAAUUAAGCCCCAAAAUACUUUGAAAGGGCAGCAGAGCCUUAGGAAGUAUUUUGGUUACCCUCACCAACUAAAACAACAACAACUUACAGGUAAUUACUUAAUGCUUAUGGAUGAACUCUUGAGCUUGGCAUGAGAGACAUAUGGCAUGGAAGCAAAAUCAACAUGAGUUUAGCACUGAGGGGAAAUUUAGGCUCUCUUGGGGGAAAAAGGGAAGUGUUAAGGUGAGAGAGGAGAAGUUUGUAGGAGAUUUAGCUAAGAAAGGAGAAAUAUAGAACAAUGCUCUUUUGGCAGCUUGACAGAUGCUCUGUUUGCCAGAAAAGGAAGAUGGAGAAGAAAUGUGAAUAGUGCAAGAGUUUGCUAGAUUUUUGCAGGUAAGAGAGGAAGCUUGCUCUCUGGGUCUGAGUUGAGUUUUUUUGUGUGGAAGAGACCUCAUUUUAUAGCCCUUGGAAACCAUCACUUCCCAAGAAACCCUAAUGGCUUCUACCCAUUUUGGCCAAGCUUUUCCCUUCCUUUCUCAUUUCCUUCCUUGACUUUACCCCUCUUGAUGAAAUCCCCUCUGCCUAUUUGCACCAUAUCAGAGUUUUUUGAAGCUCAAGGCCCCUUUUUCCCGCAGUUGUCUCAAUGGGAGACUUCCAUUCCCAGUCAUCUCCUUUAUUGCUUUCCUUUCUUUUUUUCAUGGCCAAGUUUGGUGGGGAAAGGAGUUGGGAUAUAUAUGCUGGUUUGAAGGGUGCUUCUCUUCCUGGCAUCUUACACACUAAUACCCCUUGGUUCCUUGAAUGUUUUGGCUUUGAAACUUGCUCUCCCCCCCCCCCCCCCCCCCCCCAUGUACUGGAACCUACCAGCAGCUCUAUUCAAUGAAUCUUCAGACCUUCUCUUCGUGGCUUUUAUUUUUUAUCAACGGGCUGGGGCUUUUGUGGCUCAUUGUGGCAAUUGUAUGGGCUAAGGUGGUUCAUUAAGUAAGUGGGCUAUUUUUAUUAAACAUUAGGCUUUUUGGUUGAGUCACUAGGCUAUUUUGAUUGGGCUAUUGGGCUAUUUUUUUCCUCUCUUGUGCUCACCCACAUGUUUGGACCAAAGAAAUGAGCUUGAGUCCUGAGGCUCCCAAGCGACCCGAGACUUUCCAUUUCUGGCCCAUCAAUGGGCCUCAUGUUGAUUUAUUACCAUCCAUACCACAACCCACUCAAGCAGGCUCCGGGCAUUUGAAUGACUUGGGCGCACUUAGGCUUGUAGUGUGGUUGGGUGCGAAAUAACGAUUUCGUGCUUGGCAUGUUUUAAUUUUAUCAUCCUUGGGAAAGGCUGCGAUGUUUGAUUUCGGCAUGGGCUUGUAGAGCUGGUAUGCUUUAUUUCAACUCCUAGCAUGACGAAUUAUUUAUUUAGCAUGGCACGUGAAUUACAACUCGCAUGUGGUGGGUUUUUGUGUACUACACCUUACGCCUCUUCUUAAUAGAACAUCGUUUUGGGCUGAUAAUUUAUUCGGGCCAAACCGUGAAUUUUUUGGGUCUCAAUAAUAACCAUCAUGAAACAUUACAUUUUGACUGACGUCAAGAAAUGGGGUAUCCCUUUCCUGAUAGUGGCAUCCAUGAUGCCUUCCAAGCAGUCAAUUAAGGGCUAUCGUGAUGCAUUUUAGUUGUCAGCAAAAGGUGUUUUUCUUGUACUGUAUUCACUCAAAGUCGUGUUUCAUUUAAGAUUAGUAGUAUGGUUGAAUACCAUUUGUUUUGUUAAAGAAUAUUAUACAUUAGGGAUUUUUGUAGAAAUGUCAUUUGAACUUAUACCUUAGUUUCAAUUUGUCACCUUGAAGAAAAAUUUAAGAGAAAUGUCACCUUAAUUUUUAAAAAUCCAUGAUUUGUCAUAUGACUUUAAAAUCAUCCAAUUUUCCAUCCAUUUUAAGGGUAUUUUAGUCUUUUCAUUUUGAAGGAAAAAAAAGAGAUGAAAAAAGAGACCUCUCUCUUACUUUGUCCCUCAACCCAACCCCACCCGCCCCCCAAAACACAUCACAUAGGAUUGCCUCCCCCUUCCCCACUUUUCUUUUUUCUUUUUGUCCUACUUUUCCACUAUGUUUAUGUUGAAGGAUCUAAAGUUUGCUUGGUCACCAUCUGUUACGUAGGCUUCCCAAUUGUUAGUUUGGGUGGGUUGUGGGAAUUUGUGUGCUCGAAACCCGAGACGAAUCUUGUGGAAUUCCCGACAUCACACCGAUGCCGGGCCCACUUCUGAACUAAAUUCUCUUUUCCAAAAUUAAGGAAAAAGAGUACGAGGCUUUCUGCCGAAAUUUCGACAGAGUAUUCCCUAUAAAUUUAACAUUUCAGCUUUGGUGGCCGUUCUCUCAUUUCAGCUUUGGUGGCCGGAUGAGAGAACGGUCGGCUAAAACGUGGCCAGCUGGCACUGCCGUCGCGAGAGAGAGAGAGAGAGAGAGAGAGAGAGAUUUUUAUCAAAUCAUUUUUGCCAAAAUUACGAUUAUGCAACUGAGGGUAUUUUGAUCGUAUCUUUUUCAUUAUAACUCUGAUUCAAGCCCACUACGUGUUUACGGACUCAUCUCGCCGUGCUCUAUGCAAUUGUAUAGUUGAAAUUCCCAAAUUCCACCCCAGUCAAAAAUUCAACUUUAAACCCUACAAAAUAUUAUAGGGGCAAAAUGGUCUUUUAUCUAAUUAAAUUAAUAAUUGAAAAUUUAUUUAGGACCGGGUUGUUACACUGUCGUUGAUGGACUGUGCGAUGACACUCACACAAAGUCCUUGAGAAUAAAACACACACACACCAUGAAGAGAGUAAAACAAAUACACAAGUACACAAAGAUUUAUAAAGGUUUGGCCUUCUGCCUACGUCCUCUUGGUGAUCCACCCGAGAAAUUCACUAGUACGUAAGAACAACUUUGGUUACAACUAAACCCCCUUAGCUUUCAUAAGAACCCUAGAUCUCUUUUCUCCCACCCUUGCUCCAACCCUUUGAUGCCCUUGUAAACACUCAAGAAUUCACCCUUGAAUUCUGUCAUGUGUUACAUCUUCUCUUCUCCCCUUUGUUAACCUAACCCUAAAAGUUAUAUUUAUAAUUCAUAGGACUUUAAGUACAAGUUAACUAGGAAUAGGAAACAUAAUAGACCUCAAAAAUUGGAGAAAAUAUGUUUAGAUCUCGUUAGGAAAUUGCACAACACGUGCGAUCCGCUCGAGCGCCUGCAAAAUGAUCCCUUUGUCGCUCAAGCUGCCGAUAGCUCAUGGGAUGGGGGAAUUAGAGAUUUUUUUUUUUUUCAAUUUUAAUUGUUUAAAAGAUAUACAAUUUUUUAAUAAUAAUUUUUCCAUUUUUAAAAUACCCUUGAAAAUAGAAAGAUUAAAAUGCCCUUAAAAAUGGAUGGAAAAUUGGAUUGCGUUAAGGUCAGUUGACAAAUCAUGGAUUUUGAAAAAUUAAGGUAACAUUUCUCUUAAAUUUUUCUUUAAAGUGACAAAUUAAAAUUGAGGUAUAAGUUCAAGUUACAUUUAUGCAAAAAUCCUUAUACAUUAUGAUAUUCUAACAAUAAAAUUGGCUAAAAUUGAUAUGUUCCCUCUUUAUUUUCUUUUUCUCUUUUCCUUUUCAUUUUAUGAUCCAAUCCUUUUCAUAUAUUUUUGUUCAAGACUUUGUUUUAGAAUGCUCUAUUACUAAUUUGGUACAGGUCCCUAAAAUCUCGGAGCCGCCUUAGUACAUUCAUAAUGUACAUGUUCAGAGUUCAAGAAUAAUGUAUAGAAUGUGAAAUUGACGAUGCCGGCCUUUAUGAGGCAACGUCUUUAUUUCUUUGGUUAUUACAGUUUAGAAUAUUUGCACAAAUGAGAUGAUUCCAAGCAUAAAGUCACAUUCGACCAAAAAGCAUGAAGUCACACACAAAAAGAACACGGACAAUUGCUAAGUUUAUCCUUGUACCCUUAUUUUAUUGAUCCGACCCAAUUGAAAAUUAAAAAAAGAUGAUAAAAAAUAUUGUUCACUACUUUAAAAUCUAUGAGUAGAGUCCUCCAUUUGAAAUUUCGUCAUUAUACAAAAUUGGAAUGAAAAAAGAAAAUCCUACAGCUAAAUUUGAUAUAUUUCCUUUUCAUUUUAUGCUGGGUGUUAGGGCUUGUCAAUGGGCCGGGCUAGGCUAGCCCGGCUCAAAUUUAAUGGGCUUGGGCUAGGCCGGGCCAAGCUUUAAAGAGGAGAGAGAAAAUAUCCGGCCGAGUUUUUUAAGAAAAUUCAAAGCCCAAGCCCGAAUCACUGCUGUCUAGCCCGGCCCAAAUUUAAUGAGCUUGGGCCAGGCCGAGCCAAGCUUUAAAGAGGAGAGAGAAAAUAUCCGGCCGAGUUUUUUAAGAAAAUUCAAAGCCCAAGCCCGAAUCACUGCUGUCAUUUCAUUGAUUUGUGACGAGCACAACCACCAAAUCAGAAUUUACUCACGAAAAUAUCAAGUAUGUCUAGCAAAUUUCAAUUUUGAAUAAUACACAAUUUCAAAAGGAGGACAUGUUGCAAGACAGCAUACCUUCUCUUGGGGUGCUUUUCAUUUUGCAACAUUUCUUUACGUGUAAUUUCCAGAGGAGGGUUUAUCAUUGUAUAUAGCUUUUCGGGUGGUUUGUCUACAAAACAAAUGUCACAAAGAAGGAGGAGAAACGGAAAAGAUUUACUUGGAAUGUCUCAAGUCUCCUUUGAGAUAAAGGCAUCGAAUGCACAACAUUGCUUUUGUGCUAUUUCAUAAUUAAAGUGUGCUUCCCAAGUCUCCUUUGUGUUUUGUAACUUGUAAUGUUUGUUUUUUUGUUUCCCCUGUUUUCCCUCUUAUAAAAGAAAUACAGGUCCAAACCACACGGAUCUACUUGCAUAAUAAUGGACCAAAUUUAUGAUUUUUAGAAAGAACCUUCUGCCGGUGGAAUCUUGGGCUACUGUUGUGGCUCUCCUCUGUGUGCCUCCUUUUUAGAACGGUAAAAUAUUCAAAAUACUAGAAAAUGUUCGUGAUUAAUAUAAAUAUUAAGAAUUGAAAUUAUUAAUUAAAUGAGGAUAAUAUGGUAAAUUCACACUUUUUUAUAUUAAAAAAAUUAAAAUUAAAAGAAAAAUCAGAUAAUUGAUAUUAUUUUUAUGGAACACAGCUACUCAUUAUCUUUUUUAAUUCUAAAAUAAAUUUAAAUUAAAGAAAAAAACCCCUCUCACAGGCACGGAAGCGCGUGCUCAGAGGCUAGUUAAAAAUAAUGAACUUUGCUUCUGAAGACGUCUAUACCAGACCCACUCAACCUGCUUUAUGAUUAUACAAAGAACAAACUCGUCCUUAGACUCAUUUGGUUAAACUUAGAAAAUAAUGAAACAAAAAUAUGCACUCCCACAAGUAACACAGCCAGGAUUGAAAACAACUGGACAAAGAAAGGCAUGUUAAAACAGAAUUUUCAACAACUCAUCACCAUUAGACAAGAAAAAGAAAAAUCAAUACAAAAACAGAAAGAACAGAGAAUAAAUGUGGUGGAAGAAAAACGUUGAAGCCAUUUGUGAAUCCAACAACACUACCACUCUGUUUCUCUCCUUUUGUUCAGGCGGAUCUGCAUAUAUCCUAAGGCGUAUUACGGAAACAACUUCUUGCCGUUAUACUUGAAUGUUGUGGAUGCUUCAACGUUGCCAUCUGGGUGGAGUGGAUUUGUCCAAUUCACCUUCACUAUGGUAUAUACGUCCAAAUUGUUGUUAUUUGAAAGGCUUCUAAAUUUUAACAUUUUGAUUUUUAAAUUUUGUUUAAAUAUUUCGGCCCACUUAGUUCUUCUCAAAAUAUGUCAUCAAUAUCGUUGAAAGGUUGAACUUAGUGAAUUAUUAUAGUGCAGUACUGUAGAAUAGACACAUGAUAUAAUUUGUCCACAUGUUAUAAUAUAAGUAAAUAUUUAUUGAUAUUAUUUCUAAAAAUAAGAAAUAUCAACCAUUAUAUCCUCCCAUAUUAUAAUACAUAUACAAAUUAUACCACAUUAUCAUACUCUAAUACCAUUUUAUAAUUUCUCGUACUUAGAGCGAGUCAAUGACAUUACAUAAUAUAUAAUUGUUCAUAUAAUGGGGCAACUAACGUGAUCAACAAGUUGUGGUGAUUAAUUUAACAUAAUAAAAAAUAUACCAUUUACUUGAGUGAUGUAACAAUUUGUUCUUUUAAAUUGGAUUGCCAUCACUUUAAUAUGAUAUGUUUCUUAUUAUAGUGUCCCAUGUUAAGUGCUUCAGCAUUGUUUGUGGUGUGUACACAAAUUUUCUUAUAAAAUGUUUUAAUGCUUCUCACAUGUAUAUCAGAUAUAGACAGUUGAUGUGACUUAGAAAUCAAAUUGUCAAUAAAGCAAAAAAAUAUAAUUGGUGAUUGAGGUCCAAUUUAAUAGAAAAUAGUCUUAACUUGUAUAUUAGAGGUUUCAGAUUCGAAUCCUCACUGCAUUAUUGUUGUAUACGUACACGAGAAAUCCUCUUCUCCAAUAAUUUAGACUAUCACUUAUACUAAAAAAAUAUAUAUAUAUAAUGACUUUUACGGAUGCAAACAUAAAAUUACACCAAACAAUAAUGGAAUAGAAAGAUGCAAGUUAUUUUUUUUUUUUUUACAUCUAAAGUAUACUUUAUAUAUAUAUUUAUUAUGGGUGUUAUAACCGUUUAAUUUUCAGUUUUUAUUUUCUAUUUAUUGUUUUAAUUUUUAUGGUUUAAUGUGUAUGAAGAUUACAAGUAUUGGAUGUCUACCACUCCUCCUUCACAUCUGAAACAAACCACCAUCUCAUUUCUGUAUUUUCAUACUUUCAUAUAUUUUCUACUUUCCAGAUUAUUAUUUUUGGGCAACGGUUCUGUGACUUGCAGAUUUCUAUCCGAUUGUUAACAUGCUCAUAGCGGACCUUGAGCUUGCGUAUUGGGGAUCGUAUCUUGGAGCCUUAUAGACCUUUAUUACCUGCAUGUAGGGAGGUUAUAAAUGCUUUAGGUCAGCAUCUUUGACGUGCUUUUGCUUUCUUUUUUUUUUUACUUAUUUCUUCGUUUCUUUAUUUUUACUUUACUUUUAAAUUUUUAUUUUAUGUAUUAUUUAUAUUUAAAAGUUUUGAAUAAGAGUUUUACAGAAAAGGAAAAACACAAUUUCAAAUAACACAAAUUUCUCGUUUUUGGUUCUUAAAAUAAAUGAAUUUUUUACUUAUUUGUGAACUGAAAUGCCUCUAAAAAAAUAAUGAUAGUUUGAAGAAUUUGAUAGAAAUUAAAAAAUAUCCUCAAAUUACUUGGAAUUGAAGACCACAUAGGCAAAAACACCAUUUUGGACAAAGGCUGGUGAUAAUAGUCGAUAUCAUCUUUAAGUACUUUAAUAUGAUAUGUUUCUUAUUAUAGUGUCCCAUGUUAAGUGUUUCAGCAUUGUUUGUGGUGUGUACACAAAUUUUCUUAUAAAAUGUUUUAAUGCUUCUCACAUGUAUAUCAGAUAUAGACAGUUGAUGUGACUUAGAAAUCAAAUUGUCAAUAAAGCAAAAAAAUAUAAUUGGUGAUCGAGGUCCAAUUUAAUAGAAAAUAGUCUUAACUUGUAUAUUAGAGGUCUCAUAUUCGAAUCCUCACUGCAUUAUUAUUGUAUGCGUACAUGAGAAAUCCUCUUUCCUAAUAAUUUAGACUAUCACUUAUACUAAAAUAUAUAUAUAAUGACUUUUACGAAUGCAAACAUAAAAUUACACCAAACAAUAAUGGAAUAGAAAGAUGGAAGUUUUUUUUUUUUUUCCUACGUCUAAAGUAUACUUUAUACAGUCCCGAUCUCUUGGACCACAGGAGUCCAAGAGAUUGUGGUCACCCACCGUUGGAUAUUAAUCCAAUGGUUCAAAAUGAUAUAUAUAAAUGCAAUAUGACAUAAAUGAUUAUUACCCGAUCCAAGUCAACCGUUGAAUUUACAUUCAACGGUGGGUGACCAUAAAUCUCUUGGACUACAGGGGUCCAAGAGAUCAGGACUGAUACUUUAUAUAUAUAUAUAUAUAUAUUUAUUUAUUAUGGGAGUUAUAACUGUUUAGUUUUCAGUUUUUAUUUUCUAUUUAUUGUUUUAAUUUUUAUGGUUUAAUGUGUAUGGAGAUUACAAAUAUUGGAUGUCUAUAAAGGGCCACUCCUCCUUCACAUCUGAAACAAACUACCAUCUCAUUUCUGUAUUUUCAUACUUUCAUAUAUUUUCUACUGUCCAGAUUAUUAUUUUUGGGCAACGGUUCUGUGACUUGGAGAUUUCUAUCCGAUUGUUAACAUGCUCAUAGCGGACCUUGAGCUUGCGUAUUAGGGAUCGUAUCUUGGAGCCUUGUAGACCUUUAUUACCUGCAUGUAGGGAGGGUACAAAUGCUUUAGGUCAGCGUCUUCGACGUACUUUUGCUUUCUUAUUUCUUCGUUUCUUUAUUUUUGCUUUACUUUUAAAUCUUUAUUUUAUGUAUUAUUUAUAUUUAAAAGUUUGAAUAAGAGUUUUACAGAAAAGGAAAAAUACAAUUUCAAAUAACACAAAUUUCUCGUUUUUUGUUCUUAAAAAAGAAGAAGCAUUGAUUGGGGAGUUAUGGUAAACUCAAUUUCAAUGGUUGCGAUGAGAGGCGGUGGCGGCGAGGAGAGGACGAAGGCUUUGCUGCCGACGGGGUGGUGUGGGUGGGUGGAGACCUCGGCUGGCUGCUUGGUCCUGGGUUCUCCUUUAAUUCUCUGUUUUCUUUUUUCUUUUUCUUUUUCUCUUAGAGUUAUUGAUGUUAAGUGAAUGGACAGAUGCCAAAAUAGGGACAGAAGUAGGGGUGGGCAUCAAUCCGGCCGAUCCGGUCAAUCCGGCCGAACCGAUUAUAUUGGAUUGGUUUGGUUUGGUUUUGACCAAAGAAAAAGUCAACAUUUUGAAAAACCGAACCGAACCGGUUUGGUUUGGUUCAGCUGUGGUUUGAGAGUUUUAAAAACUGUCCUAAACCGAACCGGACCGAUUAUAAAUCAAUUUAUUAUUUAUUUAAUUUAGUUUACAUGUGGCAAGGUUUGUGUGCGUUUUGUGAGUCCGCGUAUCUGAAUGUUGGUGCACGUUUUGAUCUUCUAAUUUGCAUAUCCCAGUUAUUUGUGUGUGCUUGUAUUUCCCUCUCUUUCUAUCUCUACUAUGUGUGUUUGCUCUUUGUGUUGUGUGGCUCUUCUUACUCUAUCUAUCUUAAUUAAUGGGUCCAUUUCAUAAUUUCAUACGCAUUCAAACUCCACCUCUGUGAUAAAAACAUUUACCUCUUUGUGAUAAAAGCUUUUCAUUUGUUUGUAUUUCUCUUUGGCUUUUUGACUCACUCACUGUCUUUCUUUCUUUUAAUGCUACUUGUGAUGAAUGCAAUGAGUAAAUUUAAUGCUACUUGGUUAAUGCAAAUUUUGUAUAUGUUUGUUUUGAUGGAAAUUGUGAACUUAGAUGCAUGCUAGACAUUGGACAACCUUUGAAUAAAUGGAAUGAUGUUGUAUUAGCCUUUGAUGGAAUGAAAUGAAAUGAUAUAAUGGCAAAAUGUUAGCAUUAUAAUGUAAGAGCAGGUUGAAAAAUGCAUGGUUUUGUGUUAGGCACAAACCGGCCGAACCAAUCCGAACCAAACCGAUUACAAGUGGUUUGGAUUGGUUCGGUUUCCAUUAUGAUUUUAGGCUAAUCCGAACCAAACCGGACCGUUAUUUUCUUAUUGGUUCAGCUGUGGUUUGAGAGUAAAACCGAACCAAUCCGGACCGUGCCCACCCCUAGACAGAAGAUGUGAACCCAAUUAUAUACAGCUGAUUACAUAAAGUAACAAAUUAAUUAAUACUUGAGUGGAGGACAGGCUUGAGUGGAAGAAUUGAUUAAGGCUUGAGUGGAAGACCAACUUCAGUGGAGGAAAGUAUAGAUAAGGAAAGCAUGCCUCGUUUAACGGCUUUAUCUAAUAAAGAUUAGUUGUUGGCACUUGGAGUUUCUUAGGAAUGCUGGUUUUGUUUCCUUGGUGGACUUGAAAGGUGGUGCGUUGGCUCGGACAUCUCCCUAGUAAUUAAUCGAAGGUGGAAUCUUACAAGACAUACAGCUGCUCAUUAGCUGAAUAUCUCGCUCUCUUUAAAGAGAUCGAAGCAAACUGCAAUUUGCAAUUUGUGUGAUUCAAGCAUGAAUAUCUGAUAUAGUAACUAUACCAUUUGUUGGUUUGAUAAGAAAAGUUUGGUUAGCGAGGAUGAAACCAUAAAGUUCUCCAAAACACACAAAAAACACGAACAAUUGC